rnacentral:lncRNA from 1 species
UUUUUUUUUUUUUUGGGUACUCCUUAAUAGAAGAAGAAAUGUGUGUUUCUGAUCAUGUGACUAAAAAGAUAAAGAAAACACCUUGUAUAUAAAUUACUUUAAAGGUAUUUUUGGUAAUUUUUGAACGUCACACACCUUGUAUAUAAGACUAGAUGGUUUUCAUUAAAAAGGAUAUUCUUUUUUACAUCUUUAAAUUUAUUCAUUUAUUUUGUCUUAAGUUUAGCAUGUUUCAAAGCAUAAACUCCAAUGUCUCUGGACUGUUUUUAUUUUGCAGUUCUUCCUAUCAAAUGUCACCGACUACAACAAAUUUGGACAACAAAUAUUUCUCUAUCAUUCUCUCGAUCAACUAAAAAAACCAUCGCUUUUUUCUUUUCGCUAAGUUUGCAUAGCCAUUGUUUUUUAGCAUAAUGAUUGAUCACGCAGGGCAAACAGGUAUGGGUCGGGAAAGAAUGGGAUGUUUUUGUUAACAUUUUGGGUAAAUUAGGCUGCUUGAUGGAAGCAAAGGACGCUAUGGGCAAUGAAAGGGUCGAAUGCAGGGGAUCACAUGCAUGGUUGAAGCGUGGAAAGCAAUCCUUGGACGAAAGUUAGAACCCGAGUGGACUGAAUUGCGGGCCCAUAGUUGCUUUUUGAGUUGUGGUCGAUCUCUAAAGACAUUUUAAGUUACAAGACAAUGAUACAUUCAUCUUUUGUUUCCCUCAUGGUCACGUAUCGAAAUCAGGUUAAUUGGCAGUUGCUGGUCCAUCUAAAUGCUGAUUGGUUUUCGAUUUGAUUGUAAGCAGAAAAAAUUCGGAAAUCAAAAUAUCAUACAGGCAUAUAAAAGUGAAACCUGGAUAAGAUAGUUUAUUAAGAAAAAAAUUGUUCCAGUAUCAUUGGAUUUUCUUUUCUUUAUUUGUAGCACAUAAAGAAGUGGCUUCGACUUCAUAUCCACCAUGGUGUAGAUUUUUAUUUUCUUUAGAAAUUAAAUAAAAACUUUAACAUCUUUCUAUCUCCACUACCAAAUACAUCAUUUAAAACUUCCAAAAUUCAUUUGAUUAAUUGUAGGUGGUAAGGUAUUAGUAUAGGGAAAAAUAGUACAAUAAGGAAGAGAAGACUGAUGAGAUGGAUUCUUAGGCUGAAACCAUUUGGGCCUUAAGUCAUCCAAUGCUUGUAAGAUGUGGUCUCAAUACCCAAAUCUUGAUAUGGAGCCUACUAGACCACUUGCGAAUGCUAUAAGACCAAGCCCAUGUCUCGUGGAAAGGGUCGAAUAUGCCAAUUGGACACAGUGGAAUAUCCCAAAUAUUCCCAAAAUACUGUUAAGUGCACAUUUUGCAAUUUCUUUAUAAAAAAGUCAUUGUAUAGAGAUACGGAAAAAAGUUAGUGCUAAUAUUCUAUAUCUUAUAUAAAUAUAUAAAAAUAAAAUUUUUUUAUAAAAAAAUUGUCCAACAUGAAUAGUCUAUAUAAUUGACAUGUGAAUAAUUUUAAAAAAUUAUCAUGUAUUUUUUAAUAAAUUAAUUACAUUUAUAUUUUAUUAUUUAUCUUAAAUCAAUCCCAAUUAUAUUUAUAUUAAAGAUAAUAAAAUUUUAAUUGCCAUCAUCAUAGAAUAAUUUGAUCACCUCCUUUUUCAAUUGCAAAUAUUUAACUCUUAAAUUACAUUUAUGUAAAAAAAAAAUUCAAUUACCAAAUUUUUAACCUAUGAUUUAUUUAUUUACUCCACAAUUUAAGUUGUGUUAUAUAUUUACGUUUAAUAUGUAUGUAUAUAUAUUAUUUUAAAAUAAUUAAUAGAUUAUUAAAUUAAUUAAAAUUAAUUUAGGUAUAUAUAAUAUCAAAUGAAUUUUAUUACCAUUAUUACACUAAUUUCAAAAUCUUUCAUUUUUUGUUUCUCCCAAUUAAGUUAAUACACAUUAUAUUUGAUUAUUAUAAUUGUAAAGUAUAAAUUAUUCUCAAUUUAAAAUACUAUUAUUGAUCUUAAUUUGGUUCUUAAAUUUAUUUUAAUCAAUUAGUCAUUUAAAAAUUACAAAUUAUUCUAUAAUUAUUUCUAAGACAACAAGACCCAUUCUAUAAGUAAAGGUGUUUUGGAAUACUUAAGAAAUAAGUUGUAUUAUUUCAAUACUUUUUUCUCAUUGUCUUGAUAUUCCUUUUGUCAUGUAGUAAAAAUAGCUUAAAUUCUUUUUUUUUUUUCUUUAUGAUGUUUAUAUAUGCAGGUGAAUUAGAUGCACAAAAUUUAAUAUAAUAAAUUACUUCUUAAAGUUUUUUUGUUACUUUAUAUUUGGUUUUGAUUAUUUUAGUUUCUAUUUUACUUUUUUCUUUGGAGUGAAACUCUUACAAAUUCAUGUUUCAUUGUAAUUAUAUAAUAAAUUAUGCUUCAUAAUAAUCAUAUAAUAAGCUAUUUUUAAUAAUGUGUUUGGGUUCUGAAAAAAUUAAGCAAAAUUUCUAGAAAAUUUAAUGAUUUGAUUUUUUUUAAUGUUUUGACUAUUAUUAUUAGUUCUAUUACAGUUUAAAUUAUAAAUAUAUUUGUACAUAUUAUUUUAUACUUUGUAAGUUUUUAUUAUGAUAUUGAUUUGUAUACCAAAUUCCCAUUAUUUUUCUCAUUUUAGAUCAUGGAACGAGAGAGCAAGCGAAGUGGUAGAUGAAAAGUAAUUUUCGAUUGAUUCUAUUUUGUAUUUACCAUAAAGUAGAGCUAAUUAUGUUCAAGUGUAAAUAAAAAGUUUCAUUGAUUUUAUUUUAAUUACCUUUUUAAUUUUAGAAGAGUUUAUAUAUUAAAUAAACAUUAUUAAAUAUUUUUGAUGUAAUUGCUCUUAAUUCUAAUGUUAUUGUUAGUCAACCAUUAGCAUAUAAUAUUUACAUUUUACUUUAUUUCAAAAAAAAACCUACAGUUUACUUUAUCUUGAUAAAUAAGAUUCUUGGAUUGUCUUACAUUAUCAAUAUAAAAUGAUGACCUCUAGAAAUAACUUGCUUUACAAAAUCAAUUAGAAUUUUGUAUCAAUCUCGAACAUGUUUAAGGCCAUCUCAUGCUGCAGAAAUCUUAGCCAAUGUUUGCCUUACAACUACCCACCUUCAUCUUUGUGUGAAAGUGAAAAUUUUACCUCAAAAGUAGACCCUUCUUACUUAAAGCAUUGUUAUUCCUAUCACCCAAAAACUCUAGCAACUAUUUUAUUUUAAUUUAAAAUUUAAAAUUCCUAUAUCUAUUUUUUUAGUUGCCAUUUCCCUUAAUCUAUUACUUUUAUUCUUGUUUAAUUGAUACAAUACAUGCUUGUGAGUACAUCCAUAUAAUACAAUAAUCUUCUUUACUAUGUUUAAAUAUAUAGUUUUCUUUUAUUAAAUUCUAUUGAUCGGUUGAAAUGCUAUUGGACAUUAUGUUACAUAAAUAUUUAUUUUGAUUUAUUAAUUUUUUUAUUUUAUAAUCAAUUAACAAAUCUAAUUUUUAAUGUAUUAACAAUUUCUUUGAUUUUUUUAAAUAAUUUUGUUUUAAGCCUUUUGUGGUAUUGAUAAAUUUAGUUAUUCCUCAACAUUAAUUUUUUUAUGAUGAUUAUUUUAUGUUGGAUGCAAUUAUUUUUUAUGUAUUUUGUUUUAAUCAACUUUUUAUUUCAAAAUUUUAAUAAAAAUUCAACUAAUAAAGAAAAUAAUAUUAGGUUGUAAAUUUUCAAUUGUUAACUCCAGCUGCACAGUUGUAAAAAUUAUCUCCUAUUAGGCAUGAGGUUUUGCAUUUAUUAACAUAUGUAGAUUUUUUUUUAUUAAAUGAAAAAAGGAUAUACAUUUUGAAGAAUAAAAAGAUUUAUGACAUUUACUUUUUCCUAGAGCAAUUUAAUGAUAAAACUCCAUUUAAAAGUUUUCUAUAAUUAUUUUUUAUUAAUAGAUUAUUUUCUUUUUUUUUUUUCGUUACAUAGAAUUUUUUUAAAGUUAAAUUUCAUAUUAGCUUUUUAGUGUGAUUGAAUUGUUGUUACAUUUUAAUAGUUCAACUAUUUAUUUUUUAUUUUUCUUUAAUUAAUUAUUUGAUAGCAUUGAUAAUUAGUAAACUUUCAUUAGAAUUAUUUAUGUUUUUUGGUUAUCAAAAUUUUAAAGUUAUUGUUCAACAUGCAUACAAUUUAAUUUUUUUAAACUCUUUUCAUAUUAUUGAUUUUAUUUUAUUUUAAAAAAUUAUUAUAAAUUGAAAUUGCCAUCCCGUGUAUCUGCAUCACACGGGUUUAAAUCUAAUUUAAAUUUUAAAUUUACUAAAUAUAUUUUUUAAAUGUGAUUGUAUAAAUAAAUUAAAUUAAAUUCAAAAAUCGUAAAUAUUUUUUUAUUCGAGUAGUUAAUUAACUGACAGGGUAAAGAGAACUUUUCAAAAGUGAUUAAGGUAUUUUGGUAGCACAUAUAUACCAUUUUUGUAAGUUACUUAUAUCAGGCUAAGAAUAUAUAAAACGUUUUUAGGAUAUCUUUAAUUAUAUAUUAACUAUUAAAUACUACUAUUAAAGAAAAGCCUUUAGGAUAUCCUUAAAUUCAAAGUUGCAGUACCAAUCUCUUGAACUUUUGGCUCCCAGAGACAGACUUCACCCAAAUUGAAAGCUUCGGCAAAGUAUCUAUCUGAUUAAGUCCCAAUACUUACCUUCUUCAUGUUGCAAGCAUCUCUUUGCUGCCACAUAAUGCUCUCUUGCGGUAACUUCAAAGCAAAGUUCCUCUAUUUUAAGGUGUUCAUGAUACGAACAAAAUUAAGCUUGUAGGAAAUGUUUGUCUUUUGCUACAUAUAAUAUAUAUAUAUAUAUAUAUAUAUCAAACUUUUUUUUUUAAAUUGAUACAAAGCAAAGCAUUUUGAUUUCUUGAAAUGGGAAAAUACAUUUUUUAACAGAAAAUUCACAACCUAAUAUUCGAACACUUUCGGGGGGAAGAUGAAUUUCCUGGUGCAAAAAGAGGAAUGCCCUUCAAAGCCAAGAAUCUGAGCUUCGACGAUUUGACAGUAUGGCUAGCAAAUUCAAUAAUUGUGAAAGGAACGUAUGGCUCACCUACGUGGUUUUAAUUACAUGGUGCUGUAUUAAGAUAGACGAACUCCCAUUCCGAAACUGACAAACUGGUGCAUUAUUUAUUAUCUAAUGAUUUGGACAGAUAAAACAAGCCGUAUAAGCAUUUAAUAUACAUAUAUUUUUAUAUAUUUUUAGUAGGGUGGAUAACGUUGUAUACGUGCAUUGUCAAGCUAUCAUUUUAAACAUCAUAGUCUGAUUCCUGCUGUAAUUAAUUGCACGACACUUAAAAACGAAUCGAUAAUCAUCACAUUAAGAAAUAUGAUUCAACUUAAAAAUUGGCCAAAUCAAAGUGAAAUUUGCAUUUAUUAGAACCUGGGACCUGGUCUGGAAAACUAUAAAGAGUCAUUUUCUUUUGUUCUACUCCGAUAACAUGACUGGCCAGAUUUGGUCAAUUUGAACUGCCCGAUGCUGACUGCAAUAUAUGGGUUGGUAAAUGAAAAUUCUAAGUCAGAUAAAUUAUUGUAUAUAUUUAAUGAUUGGCAAGAAAAUUUAGACAAGAUAAUUAAGGUUUUUUCCCCUUCACAAAUUCUUACAUUGCUUGCAGCAUAGAAAGACUAUUUGAACGUCAAUGCAAGCAAACUUUGGGCUAUAAAAAUAAUUGGCUGAAUAGCACACAAAAUGCAUCCUUGAAAGGCAUGAAAAUACAACGCAUUCUUAGGAAGUGCUUCGGAAAGAAAAAUAAAGUGAUGGGUAGUAGUAUAGCAAAACGAUGGAAGCAUCUAAGCGGCCAGAACAGUUGGGGAGAGCUUUUGGACCCUUUGGAUAUUGAUCUUCGCCGUUACAUUAUUCACUAUGGAGAAAUGGCUCAGGCUACCUAUGAUGCCUUCAACACCGAGAAGGCAUCCAAGUUUGCUGGAAGCAGCCUGUAUGGCAAGAAAGAUUUCUUCUCCAAAGUGGGUUUGGAGAAAGGCAACCCUUACAGGUAUCAGGUGACCAAGUUCUUGUACGCGACAUCCCAAAUCCAAGUUCCGGAAGCAUUUAUCGUGAGGCCAUUGUCGAGGGAAGCCUGGAGCAAAGAAUCGAACUGGAUUGGAUAUGUGGCUGUGGCCACUGAUGAAGGGCAAGAUGUUUUAGGAAGGAGGGAUAUUGUGAUUGCUUGGAGAGGAACAGUUCAGACCCUCGAAUGGGUCGAUGAUUUUGAAUUUAACUUGGUUUCGCCAGGGAAAAUUUUUGGUGAUCAGAGUAGUGAUAUCAAGGUGCACGAGGGCUGGUAUUCCAUCUACACCUCAGAAGAUCCACGUUCGCAUUAUAACAAAAGCAGUGCCAGAGACCAGGUGAGAGAUUCUUUUCAUGUUAAUCUGUAAAAUCUUGUUUAGAAUUAAUUAAUAUUCUUAAGUCUUAAUUACAAUUAGGAAAAGUUUCUACCUCUCGCUUAAUGUAUAAACGUGCUUGGGAAUCGAAGAACAUUAAACCUUUUGCACAAACUUUGAUGAGUGGGAAAAAAAGCAAGGCAUAAAGGAAAUAUAUAGAAAUCUUAUAAUUUUUGUUCUUUCAAUGUUAAAUGUCAUGAAGAAAAAUGUGUUUAUCAUCAAAACAUAAAAUGAAAUCCUAAAUAAGAAUUUAAUAUUGUGUUUAUAAUCAUAAAUAAUUAUAUAUGUAGUACGAAAUGAAAAAGCAACUUAUUUCAAAAUUAGAUGAUUAUUAUAUAAAAGUCAUGAAUCCCAAUUAAGAACUUUAUUUAUUUACUAAUUUUUCAUUACUAAAUUAUUAGCAUGCCUCAUUUUAUUUUUAAACGUGAUUGUCUUUUUGAAAUAGGGAUUAUUUUUUGUAAUUACUGCUGUAAAGAUAAAGAAAGCAUAAUUUUUAAAAUUGUUGGGUUUUUUUAUUUUUCUAUGAAUAUAGAUAUAAUCUACUUAAUGAUUAAUUUUAUUUUUAUUUUUUCAGAUUUUAAAAUCUGAAAAAAAAAGGCUUUGGAUUCUCAUGUCACCAUUUUUAUACCUUAUCCAAUAUUCUUAAAAAAGGAAGCUUAAAUAGACAAAAUUAUUUACACCAGAGCUAAUAUGAGAUUGAGAGAUGGUGCCUGUAUAGUUUAACGGAUAUUUUACAAGAGACUUAAGUUUAUCUGAUAGGACUUGAUCUUCAAGCUCUUGCCUCACCAGUAACCAAGAACAAAUAGAAAAAACAAAAGAGAGAGAGGAUGGAUUUAAAUUGAGGGUUUGUGAUUUGCAAAGAAGCUAGCUUUUGAGACAAAACUUGAAGGUAGAGAAAGUUGCAUUAAUGGACUGCUGAUCCUUCCUUUUAAGCCCAACCGUUUACGGUUUUUUUUUUUUUUUAAUUUUUUAAUUUUAAAUUUGUGCUUCUCCUCUUUCUUUUUGUUUUUCACACUUAUUACAGAAAAAGAAUAAAAGAUAAAAAGAAAACUUGGAGAAAUAAAAGCUUGUUAUUAUGAGUUGCCUGUUUAGAGUUUAAAAAGCCAUUACAUGACGUGGCUCUUCAACAAGAGCUCAAGUGUCUAAAGUCAGCUAUUAUUGUGACUGCUCCUGGCCUUUCUCUUUUAAUAUUACACGAUGAAUAACUCCAAUUUCCUAAUGACUGAAAAAUAUUCCUGAUAUUGAACCCAUUUUCCAUCAAUUAUAUUUUUCUCAAAGUACUUAUAAAUAUCCUCCCCUUUUUGUCAAUUCAAGACAGCAUAGUCGUGUAGCUUAGACACAGAAGCUCACCAUAAAAAUGUCCUUGGUUGUAUGUAUGUUCUAUAGAAAGUAAAAAUUGUCUUUGUUCUUGCUAUUGAUUGUUUUAGGUUCUUAAGGAGGUUAGGAGACUAGUGGACCAAUUCAAGAACGAGGAAAUAAGCAUCACAGUGACCGGCCACAGCUUAGGUGCAGCACUUGCAACUCUGAAUGCCAUCGACAUAGUUGCCAAUGGAUAUAACAAGCCCGAAAACCACUCACGGAAGGCCGCUCCCGUUACAGCCUUUUUAUUUGCUAGUCCUCGAGUUGGUGACUCAGAUUUCAAAAAGGUGUUUACAGGAUUCAAAGACCUUCGAGCCAUACGCGUCCGAAAUGCGUUAGAUGUUGUCCCCAACUAUCCUUUGAUAGGUUAUUCGGAUGUGGGAGAAGAAUUGGCUAUUGACACCCGUAAAUCAAGGUACUUGAAGAGUCCAGGAAACUUGUCAAGUUGGCAUAAUUUGGAAGGUUAUUUACAUGGGAUGGCUGGAGUACAAGGGAGUAAAGGAGGGUUUAACUUGGUGGUUAAUCGUGAUAUAGCCCUUGUAAACAAAUCAAUUGAUGGAUUAAAGGACGACUAUUUUGUCCCAGUGUCAUGGAGGGUUCAGAAGAACAAGGGUAUGGUCCAGCAGGAAGAUGGUUCUUGGAAACUGAUGGAUCAUGAAGGUCUAGAUGAUGAUGAUACUUGAAUGCCGCGCCAAAUUGGUUUGAUAACAGUUUUUAAGGUAUCGUACUUCUAGAUGUAUAAGAGUCCUUACUAUUAAAAAUUAACAAAAAAAUUUUUACAGCAUUGGUUAAUAAUCUGUGCACUAGGACCUAGGAAGUUUAUUGGUAUUUUCAGUGAGUAGUUGUUGAAUUGCCAAAUCUGGCGGUGGAUUGACUAGAAGUGAUCUGUCCACAGGUGAGGCUGCUUGCCAGGUUCGCGGGCCACUUUCAUUCGGGCAAAACUGUGACAGGGAUUUUAAGGCCCAAACCUCUUUCGAUUUGAAUUAUUAUAUAUUUGUUAAUAAAAUUUUUUCUUAAAUUUAAUUUUAAAAUAUAUUUAAAAAAUAUAAAAGUAUCCAUAUAAUCAUUUAUAAUAUUUCAAUAUUUAGUAAACAAUAUAAUCUAGAUCCAAAUAAACAAGUCAGGACUUAAACAAAGCUUUGAAAGUGUCAAUUAGGCGGUUAAAUAUUCAAUUGGAUCCCCAACAUUUGAGGAAUUGUUUAAAUCAGGAUUUAAUUUUUUAAUUUUAGCAAAUAAGGAUUUGAUGCAUUCGGGAUGUAACAAUUAAGGGCUCAGAUGGUUAAAAGCCAGCACGUGUUUUACACGCACCAUAGUAUUACGUGAAGAAUGGAUUUUUUGGCUAAGGUGUAGUUUCAGAUGAUGUGAAAAAUAAAUUUAUUCAUUUCGGGAAAAGUACCUUUCAGAAAAUUAAAAAAAAAAACCUGAAAAUUACAUCUUACCCUCGACCUAAAAUCUAGAGUCUCGUCCCCACUCUCCUUUUUUGACUUUUGUAAUUCAAACUACAAUUGCUUCCCGUAUACCUGUUAACUUCCUUUUUCUUUUUGUUCUCAAUUUUUUCCCAAAAUAAACCUUCUUGCCCUUAACAAUUUUACCCACUUAAACAAAUAAAUUUCAAAAAUUUUCUUUGCUUCGUUUCUUUGCAAACGUCAAAUCAAUUGGGUUAUCCGUGAAAAACUUGGUUUCUCUCUUGAUUCUGUGAUGUUUUCUCGCUUGAAUCUUUCAUUUUUGUGUUUUAUGUGGCUCACUUCUUAAAAGUUUCUUGAUUGUAUUUUUUUUGUUAUUUGGAUUUUCAACUAGGGUUUUUUUUUUUUCCUAAUCCAAGUAUUCUGACCUUAUUUUUGCAAAUUUCCUUUUGGGUUUUUUGUUUUCAGUUUUCAAUUUACGGGUUUUCUUUAUUUUUAUCAAUUUGAUAAUUUUUAUUUAUUUUAGUUUAGUUUAAGUGUUUUAAAGAUAUUAACUUUGAAGAUUUAUAAGAAAGCUUAAAACUUUUUUUUCUUUUGUGAUUUUUAUGUUGUUUGAUUAAAGGGUAUUUCUUAUUUUUAGUUAAAUUUAAUACUUUAUCCCUUUUUGAUGAGAUUUUAAGUAUUAAUUGCUUGAAAAUUUUCUUUGGUAUUUUCACAUUUUUGAGAAGAAUAUAGAAAUGUGAGGGGGAAGACUGUAUUCUAGGAAGAAUGUUUGGUUGUUAGGAAACUGAGAAAAAAUUUUUAUUUUUUAAAAACUUUUUUUAUAGUUUUUUUAAUUUUUUUUUACAUGUAGACAUCUUACUUGUCAGCUUAUUUGGCAAAAAUAUUAGUCAUUUGACAAAAUUAAUGGCACUUAUUAUAUACUCGUCAAAUUUCAUCCAUUGAAAAUUUUAAUUGUUAAACUUUAUUUGUUAAAAUUAAAAGGUUAGGUUUUGAUUUGAGCAAUCGAUCAAACAUUUGAGGACAAAAUUGAGUAUUUAACCCAAUUAAGCUUAACUUAGCCCGAUCCAUGGAAACGAGUUUUCAAAGUUUUUCUUUACCUUGUAAGUCUCAAAUUGUUAUCCAUUCAAUGAAUUUAUGUUAAUUUAUUCAGUUAAUUUGAUUAAUUUUAUUAAUUAAAAUAUUUAAAACUAAAUUAUUUUAUUUUAUUUUUAUUAAAGAACUGAAUUUAUUAAUUUUAAAAAUCAAACCAAUCGAAUUUAGUUCAAUUACUUUUUUAAUUAAUCAAAUAAUAAAAUAUAUUUAAAUUAAAUUAUAUUUUAAAUUCUAAUUUCUCACAUUUAAAACAAACUAAAUAAAAUUAUUAGACAAAACAUUCAAAUACUAAAUUAUCAACUUAAAAAUUUUAAAAACUUAUAAUAUAAAAUGGUUUGUUUCAUAUAUUUUUAAUUUUAUGUAUGAGUUUUUUAUAUUCGAGUUAAAAUUUAGAUUAAUUCAAUUAAAAAAUAAAGUUAAUUAAAAAUAUAAAAUUUUUAAAGUCAUUUUCAAUAGCUUCAAUCGAUAUUAAUUCAAUAAGUAAUCGAUUAACCAAAUAAAAUUAAUUCAAUCUACUAAUUUGAUUAAAACCUAACUAUAAACAUUUAAAGUCAUAUUUAUUGUAUAGGAUGAUAGAUAGGAUAAGAUAAUAAUCAUUUUUUAUUAUGUUUGAUUUGUAUUUUAAAAAAAGAAUAAAAUUAUAAAAAUGAUUAAUUAUUCUCUUGGUAUAAGAUGAUUUAAUCUUUUUAAUGUAAAAAAGAUUAUUUUUAAUUCAUGAUAUUGAACUUAAAUAUUUUAUUAUAUCCUUAAAAAUUUUAUUAAUCAUUUAAAUUAUCUAAACUUUGAGAAAAUAUAAUUUUAAUUAAUAAAUAAAUUAUCUUAUCCUAAUAAUUACAUAUAUCAAAUAUAAGAUAAAAUUAUAUUUUUAAUAUAAUUCUAUUCAUAAAAUCAUUUUAUUAUAUCCUAUCAUAAUAUUAUUUACCAAACACAUCCUAAAUCAACCAAACAUGUUUUGUAAAUUUAAGUUUUGUUUACCUCUAUCCAAGCAUCAAGCGUGUCUCUCGCACUAGUACCCUACAUGUUUUAAAUUUAAUCUUUCUUUACAUAUAUCCAAGCAUCAAUCCUGUAUCUUGCACGGGUAGUAUUCUUAAACUUGGAACAUUAUUUUUUUGUCUAAAUUUUUAAUUAUAUUGUACGGUUAAAAUAAAAUUUAUUUAUUUAUCAGCCCUUCAUAUUUAUCGCAUGCAAAUAAUGUUCAAAUUAUCUAAAACCUAGAAACCUAUCAACUUUUAAGUACAUGAAUGUUUAGUAAAAAAUUGAAAUGGAUACAAGUAUAAAUUAGAAGUUAGAAUAUAAAGUUAUGUCUUUCUAGUGGAAGUCAUGCAAGUUGAAUGGUUGUGUGUCGCCUGCCUAGGCGGCUAGACCACUUCCUAGACCGUUAUUACCAUUUAAAUAAAAAGAAAACAAAGCCGAAAUUGACGAAUCUUCUUCACGAGUAUAUCUAAAAGGCCAAAUAAGGAGAAGUUCCCUUGAGAUGUACCCCACUCCCUGCACGCAUAUUAGAAACUUCCAUAGUUGCAUGGCACUUUCUGUAUCAAACCAUCUUAUCAUUCUAUUUAUCGCCAAACGAGAACACGGCCUAGUGCAACCCCCCUAACAUGCACCACGUUCCCCAAUAUAUUCCUCCUGUCAAAAAAAAAAAAAAAGAAAUGACCAUUGUUCUAUGUAUCUAGUUUUCGGUGGGGAGAGAUCUCUCUAAAGCACCUUAAUGUAGCUAGGAAUCGCAUCCGCACAAACCCCGGAAAAAAAAAAGAAAAAAGAGAAGAAAAGAAAGCAGAGCUAAAAAAGAGUGAUGGCUAAUUCCAUAGCAUCCCGAUGGAGAGAACUCAGUGGUGAGAACUACUGGCAGGGUCUAUUGCAGCCUAUCGAUAUUGAUCUCCGUCGCUAUAUUAUCCACUAUGGUGAAAGGAUUGGAGCUGUUGGAGACCUUUUCAAUAGUGAAAAGGAAUCUAGCGGAUUCCGACAUAGCCUAUACCCAAAAGAAGAGGUUUUUUCCAGGGCUUGUCUUGAAAAAGGAAAUAUAUUCAAGUACUACGUGACCGACUUCUUUUAUGCGGCCUCAGAUGAUGUCGAGUCCGCAUGGUUUGGAUAUGUGGCAGUGACCACAGACGAAGGAAAGGUUGCUCUAGGAAGGAGAGAGAUUUUGGUUGCUUGGAGAGGAACUAUAACAGACUCGGAAUGGUUUAAUAAUGUAAACUUUUUCCAAACGUCCGCUUCAGAAUUAUUUGGGGCUGGAAACAACGCUAAAGUGCACUCUGGCUUCCUCUCUCUUUAUACUGGGACAAGCUGGAAAUCCGCUUACAACAAGACUAGUGCCAGAGAGCAGGUAAUUCUUGAUAUUGUACUUUGUAGCUUCCAAAACUAUUUAUAUACAACAGUUAAAAUUUUCUAAUUGCAACUUUAAUUCCCUUAAAUCUGUUGGAUUGUAAACCCAUUUACAUUGGAUUAGUCACUUGUCUUUUAUUUUUGUAGUAACCCAUUUACUUUAUACUUUGAGUUGGACUCUUUUUGUGUUAUAUAGUUAGCCUCGUUAUAAUUUAAAUGAAAUAAAUGAUAGAAUGAAUAUAGGAACAGUGUAGAGAAUAGAGAGGAGAAUGUGGUAAAGGUGGAAAUACAAGGAAGAAAAUGAGAUCUUGUCUUUAUGAGAAAAAUGCAAACUUUUGUGUAAAUUAUUUUCUUACUCUAGUAAAUGAAUAUCUUUGGGGCAUUUUGAAGUAAAGAACAUGUUAUUUUGUUUGUUGUUUAUAAAUUUAGAAGUUUGUUAUGCUUGAUAGUUGGUUAUGUGGUUAUUUAAACUUUUAGCUUGGUUGAUUGGAGAUAGAUUAUUGUGUGAAACUUGUGCUGGAUGUUUCUGUAUGUUUGUAGUGCAAAGUUGUGAUUUUGGUGGUUCAUUGAAGCUUGGUUUAUUAUAAGAAGCUUUAUGGAGUUUGCAAGCCAAUUGUUUGUGAAAAUGUCUCUUAGGGCCUUCCUUCCAACAAAAUCUUGCUAAAGAGUAUGUGUUUUAAGUAAAUUUUGGUUCAUUUGUUUGGUCUAAACAUAAUAGGAGAAUAAUAUUUUGUACUAUAAAACCUUUCUUAAUUUGGAUUAAAGGCAAUUUUAAUGCUGAGAACAAUUCCUUUGACCAUAUACGUGCAACAUAUAUAAGACUAUGCAUUUUCUACAAAUGAAACAUAUAUAGAACAAUAUUUUCUUCGUGUCAUAAAUACUUUUUUUUUGGUCAAACUCUUUUAGGUACGACUACUUAUGAGUGAUCUCCAUUUUCAACUUAUUCUAUCAUAUAAGAUUAAGAUGGUGAUAAGAAUAAUGUCAUGUAGGUUCUAAAAGCGGUUAGGGAGCUGGUGAACAAAUACCAAGAUGAAGAGAUAAGCAUAACUGUAACAGGCUAUAGCUUAGGAGCAGCACUAGCAACGCUAAACGCAAUGGACAUAGUUGCCAAUGGUUAUAACAAGCCCACAGGCGAUUCAAAGAAGUCGUGCAUGGUCACAGCUUUUGCAUAUGCCGGUCCACGUGUUGGGAACAGUGGCUUGGAGGAAGUAUUUAAGACACUCAAUGAUCAUCUUCGUCUUCUACGCAUCACAAAUUUCUGGGAUCCUGUUCAUCAUCUGCCCUCAAAAUUUCUAUCGGGCUACACCCAUUUGGGGAAAGAGUUACAAAUAAACACCAGUAAGUCAGACUACUUGAAGCGGAAACUUUUUGUGAUCAGUACAACUAAUCUUCAAGACAACACAGAUUCCAUAUACAUCCCUCCUCCUGGGCAUUUGCCAGCAGAAUAUUUAGAUGGAAACAUGCAGGUGGAAGAAGAGUUGGAAAUGUACGCCGCCACUAAAGGCUACAAGCAUAAAAGCAACAUCAGAGAAGAGUUGGAAAUUGACGCCACCACGCUAGGAUUCACGGGUGGCCUAGUGGGGUACCUGGGUGAACUUUUCAUUGCUCAUGCUUUGGAAGUUUACCUGCAUGGAAUUGCAGGCGUCCAAGAAAAUGGAUUUCGUCUGGAAAUUGACCGUGAUAUUGCACUGGUAAACAAACAUUUAGAUUGGCUGAAAGUAGAUUACAAAAUUCCUCCCAAAUGGUGGAAUAAUGAGAAUCGCAAAAAUAUGGUUCAGAUUGACAAUGGCCACUGGAAGUUUGUUGAGAAUGCUUAAUAUCAUCCAUAACGGAUCGGUAUACAAGAUGCUCUCAAAGUGCUUGAUCACAUAUAAGUCAGGUCCUCGCUUCGUUAAAAAAAAGUUUAAUUGUUUCUAUCUAUAGAAACAAGGUUCGGCCACUGAGUUCAUGCUUCGCUUUGGUGUUAUCUCUGAUUGCUGCGCUAUGUCAUGGCCUAUUGGGGUUUAAUUUUAGGUAAAAAUACUGAAUGAGUAGCUGAUUUUGUUUUUUACUUUUUCUAUGUGACCUAUUGGUAUAUAUAUUUAGAAUCUUUAUAUUUGGUUCUAAGCCUUUUGGUGAACAAUUAGGAGAUUAAUUAAGACAAAAUCAUUUAACUUGAAUGCAUGUUAUGAAUUAUAAUUCGACUAAAUUUAAAAAUUAAUUGAAUUAAUCAAAUUAAAUUUGAUUGAUUAAACUUUUUAAAUUAUUAAAUUUGAUUCUAUUACUAAAAAUAAAAUAAAAUAAUUUGAUUAAUUUGAUUUUAGAUGUUUGGAUUUGAAAUUAAUUGAACCAAACACCUUGCUUCAUAAGAAUACGUUUUCUUAUAAAAAAAAAUUCCUUUAGGGGUUUGAAGGGAAAAUUUUGAAAUACAUUAAUUUAAAACAAUAGAAUUUGUAAUUGCUUUAUUUGGAUAAUUAUUUUUUAGAAAUAAAUUUUAAAUAUUGAAAUUUGAUAAGAUAAAAAAAUUAUAAUAGAUAAGUAAUGGCAAAAUACUAAAAAAUAUAUGUAAUAUAAUUGUCAUUGAAUUUGUAAAAAUAUGUAGAUAUUACUAACAAAAUGAAAAAUUAAAAAAAAUUAUAAUGAGUUUUUGUAAUUAAAAUAAAAAAAAAACAACAAAAGUAGCGUAAAAAGAAAAUAUACUAAAUAUUGACUUCUUAUCAUAAAUUAAAAAUCUCACAAAUGCCACUUCUAUAGGUGAAAUUAAAAAAAAAAAAUUGAGCGAUAAAAAUUUUUAUUUAAAUUUGAGGAAUUUUGGCAAUUAAAAAUUUUAAUUUACCAAAUAAGAUAAAUACACUUUAAUUGCUGCACAUCUGUAUUAUCUGGUUCUUAGUAAAGGCAUGCGUUUGUCCGUAUAGUGUUCAAACCGGCUGCAGUUGGCAUGGAGUAAAGUGAGAGUGAGGCGAGAUGCGUCACGGAUAUUACGCAGGACAAUUUUGUUUUUAAGCUCAAGCUUGGUGUCUUCUCACGAAGCGUGCAAACCGUGUUGGUGUGCGUUGAAAUUCUGUCUCGAUGAAAUUGGUUUAGAGGAACUUUCAAGCCAUGGAAUAGAAGAACUAAAAGAACAACGAGACUUCAGGUAGAAGGAUCAUAUCUCAAAAGUCAUUGACAACUACCCGACUCUCUCCCAACGAACUCAUCUUAUCUCUUCUUUGUUAGAUUGCAGAUGGGUCGGCCUUCAUUGCCUCAUAAGAAAAAAACAAAAGAACAAAAACAAAAACCCAACAUCUCAUAAAAAUAAUAAGAAUAAGGCCACAAUAAUGAAUGCUCAAUAUACAAACAAAACCCAAUAACUGAAAACCACAUUUCAAAUAGCCUCUUGCGGACAGAGGCUUAAAGUCCAUCUUGUUUUGUGUUUAGGUAUGCGAAUAUUAAUCCUUUCAAAAAAAAAAAAAUCAAGGAAUAUGAAUUACAUAAAUUUCAUAAUUCUUAAAAUUUUUGUUAUUUUAACAAAUGAUAUGUUUGUCUUUGCAAAAAAAAAAAAAAACCUCUUGUUGACCAAAUUAAGAGUAAACCAAAUGUCAUCGAGACCCAUUUCAAUAAUAAGAUCUAUAUUUUUUACGGAUCUCUAUAUUUGAAUCCAUCUUGAUUCAUUGAAUUACUUUCUAUUUUCCUUUGAUCUUUUAUAAAUAUAUUGUUUUUGUUUAAGUUAUUAAUUCAUCUUAUGAAUUUGUAGAUAUGAUUUUAUCUAUAAAAUCGUAUAAUAUUUAAUUUUAAAAUUUCAUUGAUACAAAAAGGUAAUUAAACAUGUUUUUCUAAAAAAAGUUGUCAUAUUCAACAGCUAUAGACUUACAGGACACGAGUUCUUGAUGUUAAUCUUUCGCCGACUCCCUAGUUUGUCUUCUAUGAAAGGUGCUAUUAUGGUGUUGAUCUUCAAAGUCGAACCAUUUGCCAUAACUUUUUUGUUAAAUCAUAAUUUAAAAAUAAAAAUAUUAUUAUUGUUGAGAUUUAAAUUUUAAACUACAUUAUAAUACUUUCACGAUCGCCCUAUCUUGAUCGAUUAAGUUGUUUCUGCUUACUUAAAAAUUGAUAUUAGUAAAAUUAAUCAGAGUAAUUCAAGCGAGCAUGGAACUUGGAAAACACGUUGAUAUUAUCUUCCGGUUAGUGCUUUUUCAUCUGUAUUCAGUCAUUUUCAUGCCACGUGCGAUGUGAUAUGGACAUUAUAAGCUUUAUAAUUAAACUUUAUAAGCAAUGAUUGCGUUUUAGUACUGUCCACUUAAUUUAUUCCAAAUAAUAUGCACUAUAAAAAAAUUAUUCAUUGUGCAUGCCGACCCAUGUGCGUCUAGUUUUGUGCUUAUCCUUUAGAUAUCUUUGGCAAUACGCUAACUGCAAAAAAUAACAUAUAAAAAUAUUGAACAGUUACUCCUAAAUUGAAUUAGUUUAAGUUGUACUUUCAAUUUUCAGACUUCUUAAAAUCUCUUAAUUUUUAAAACUUUUUUUACGUUUUUAACUUUUAAUUUACAUAGCAAACGAUAUUGUUAUAAUCAUACAUUAAACAAUAUUUUAAAUUUUCUAUAAAAAUAUAAAAUGGCAUUAAAGCAUUCUUCCUUUUUUGUGAGUUGUUUUUUUUAAUUUCUUAGUAAACUAGAUGCAAAGAAUGAUCAUAUAUAUAUAUAUAUAUAUAUAUAUGAAUUUUUUUUAUAUUUGAGACUAUUAUAAAAUUUAAAUUUUAAUUACUAAAAUUAAAAAUAAAAUUAAAAAUUUAAUGUUUUACAAACAAAUCAUACUUCAAUAGAUAUAACAACAAAUCAUGCCGCGAUUAACUUAUAUAGAAUAAGAAACUUAUAAUUGGUAGACUCUACAUAAAAUUACAACAAUAAUAUGGCCAAAAAGUAAGUCUUUUCUCAGCGGGAAGCUUCAACCCGAAGUAAAAACUUAAGUGGUUUUGUCUAAAGGGAAAGUUUCCCAUGAUAAAAAUGUGGCUUUUUUUUUUUGUGCAAUCAUUCUAUAUAGUUUAAUUUGUUGUUUGAUUAUCCACAUGGAUUUUGUCUUCUUCCCUCCCUCAUAGCUCGAGAGCGCCUUAUAUAAAGCAUGCAAAUCAAAGCUAUGAAUCCCAUCUUCACAAGAAAGCUUGAAAAGAAGAAUAGAUAAUUAGAGUUAAUUAGAUAAGAGUGAUGGCUAGCUCCAUAGCAUCUUCUUGGAGAGAACUCAGUGGCGAGAAAUGCUGGAAGGAUCUAUUGCAUCCUCUUGACCUUGAUCUUCGCCGCUAUAUUAUUCACUAUCUUCAAAGGGCUGGAGCUGCUGGGGACCCCUUCAACGGGAACAAGGCAUCUAAGGGUUACGGACUUAGCCUAUAUCCACCAGAUGAGUUUUUUGCUAGGGACGGUCUUGGAAUUGCAAACCCAUACAGGUAUCAAGUGACCAACUUUAUAUAUGCCGCCACUAGUACUAAUGAGUCCGAAUGGUUUGGUUAUGUGGCGGUAGCCACAGAUGACGGAAAGGCUGCUCUAGGAAGGAGGGAUAUUCUGGUUUCAUGGAGAGGAACCAUAACAAACGUGGACUGGGCCGAUGAUGCAAAAUUCUUCCCGACAUCAGCUAAAGAAUUAUUCAAAACUGACUUGGCUCAGGUGCACUCCGGCUUUCUCUCCAUUUAUACAGGGACGGUAGAUUCCCCUUACAGUACGACCAGCGCAAAGGAACAGGUAAAUCUUGAUUUUUCUACUUGUCGCUCCCCUGAAUGUAAUAGCACCAGGGAUCAUUCACAGCACGCCCUGACUAUAUAUAUGAGCAUUAUGACCUUAUCAUUCAGAAAUUGCCCCAUUAGUUGCAGGAUUUAUACGUGAUGCAUUGUAGGGUAUAAAUUUUAUACACUAUCAAUGAAUAAGAUAAUAUCAUCUUAUUAAUGAAAGAAAUCAGAUGAUGUUACUUUAUUAAUGAGUAAAUUUUUUAAAAAAUAUUAAUUUUUAUAUAUUUAUUUUAAAUAUUGAUAUUUGUUCAUUAAUGAACUAAUAUUAUUUAAUUGAUUAAUAAUAUAUAGAAUUUAUACAUUGACAAUAUAUAAAAUAUAAACUCUUAGUUACACUUUUAGAUGCGAAUAUAGUUGAUUGAUAUGAAGUACGAAUCAAUAUAAUCAAUCCAACCAACUUGUUAAAUUUUCUAUCACCAACUUUCUAGUUGAUCAUCAUAUUCAGCUUGUAUAUAUCAUGUUAAAAAAGGAAAAAAAAAUCAUUUCUAAUGACCGAAUUCAAAAUUUAUUGAUGCCUCCCAGGUUCGAAGUGCGGUCAAGGAACAGGUUGACAAGUACCAGAAUGAGGAUGUAAGCAUAACUGUUGUAGGCCAUAGCUUGGGCGCCGCACUUGCAACCCUGAAUGCUAUGGACAUAGUUUUCAAUGGUUUUAAUACGCCAACAGACUCGGAUAAGGCGUUCAUGGUCACCGCUUUUACAGCUGCCAGCCCUCGCGUUGGAAAUGAAUUCUUCAGGGGAGUAUUUGAUUUUGAUGAACUUAAGCAUCUUCGUCUUCUACGCAUUGUAAAUACCACGGAUCCCAUUCCUAAGGUUCCCUGGUUACAUGGCUUCUACGUCCAUGUGGGAGAAAAGCUUGAAAUUGACACGACGAAAUCAACAUAUUUGAAAUCGAAUGCUAAUCCUCACAAUUUGGAUGUCUACGCGCAUGGAGUUGCAGGGGUACAAGAAAAUGGAGAAUUCAAGUUGGAAGAGGAACUUGAUUUUGACAAUGCAGUAGUAAACAAACAUGGUGAUUGUUUACUGGACGAAUCCAAAAUACCAAUUGAAUGGUGGAACAAUGAGAAGUUCAAGGGCAUGGUUCAGAUGGACAAUGGUCACUGGAAGUUUGUUGACUCUGCUUAUGUGCCAGAACCUCCAAAUGCUUGAUAGCAGCAUGCAGCACUUGGUGACUGCACUUAAUAUAAUUUUAUUAAAGAAAUGAAUUUAAUAAGUUAAAGGGUUUGUCUCUUCUGAUUGAAAUAAAGACCCUUAUUGAGCCAGGGGCUUUGCCCGAAAGCUCAUGCUACCCUUUUACAGGGAACUUUCGCAGGUCAGAGUUCUAUUAGCUCUGACUCUUGCUAUGUCAUGGGGUUUAUGGUAUCUUAUUUAUGUAUUCUAGCAAAAGAAUGGUUAUAUGUAUAAAAAAACCAUGCCUAUUGUAAUCCAACUAGGCAAAAGAAAAAGGGAAUUUGCCUAUAUUUAUGAAUGUAAUAAAAAUAUCUUUGUAUUGGGUCCUUGCCAUUUUGGUGAUGUAAAUUUAUUUCCAGUGGUCUGCUACUUUUCCUAGUUUGUUGGUUGCCCAUAAUUGUUUUUCAACACCAAAUUCCUCUCUUAGUUUCAAGUUGAUCUCCAUUUUUUACCUUGUAUCAUAUAAAAAUUGAGAUCCAAUGGUGACCCAAGUUAACAGCUCAUUUGUUAACGAUGCCCGUAAGGUUUGAAAAGCGGUCCAGGAACUGGUGGACAAGUAGCAGAACGAGGAUGUAAGCAUAACUGGAACAGGCCAUAGUCUGGGCGCUGCAAUUGCAACCCUAAACGCUACGUCAUAGCUGACAAUGGUUUCAACAAGCCCACAGACAACCCAAAUAAGGCGUUCGCGGUCACAGCUUUUCCAGUUGCCAGCCCUCGCUUUGGGAAUCUAUUCUUCAAAGGAAUUUUUUUAUGGACUUAAGGAUCUUCAUCUCCUGCGCAUCGUGAAUUCCACGGAUCCCGUUCCUAAGGUUCCAUUUUUACUUGGCAUCUACAUCCAUAUGCCAUGUGGGAGAAGAGUUAGGGUUUGAUACAGCCAAGUACUUGAAAUCGAAUGAGUCCUCACAAUUUGGAGGGUUAUGAGCAUGGGGUUGCAGGGGUAAAAAAAAAUGGAGAAUUUAAACUGAAAGAGGAACUUGAUUUUGAUAAUCUAGUCAUAAACAAAUAUAUAUACCGAUGGUUUAUUUGACGUAUGCAAAAUACCGGAUAACUGGUAGACGAAGGAGAUGCUAGAGAGAUAGCUUGGAGCUCACGAGAGCACAUUAGAGAUUUCAUAUUUAUAUGUAAGAUAAUUUUUGAGUUCAAAAAUUUAAGCUAUUAAAUUUUUAGAUUUUUUAUAUAUACAUAAGAUAUUUUAUUCAAAUUUUUUAAUAAUGUGAAAUUUUUUACUCACAUGUGAAUCAUAUCCCAAUAAUAUUUUUUGUUACUUGUGAGUUCUAAUCAAGUCUCAUCUCGACUCUUCUUUGCGAAUAAAUUCUAUCAAUAUUUUUUUUUGGAUCGGGUAACCUUACAUAUUUAAUGCGUUUUUGGGCUAGACCACAACACUCAACCUUAUCACUUAGGUUGGCUUAGUGCUACCUCAAGUUUACACUCCAAGUUAACUCAACACAUCUCUCACUCAGAUGUUCUGCUUCUAUAUAUUAUCAUAUACUCAUUGUAUCCAAUUCGAACUUUUUAAUAUUGACGUUCGAGCAUAUGGAGUUGAUAGACGUGAUCAAACUCCGAUCUGUCAACAAUCUCCUUCCAAUAAUACCAUUGAGACUCAAACCUGUAACUUUUUGAUCUGAUACUACUUGUUGGAGAGAUAAACCACACUUGAAGCCUAUAAGACCAAAAUAUUUGUUGGAAAAAGAAGUAAAAUUUUUAAAAUUAAAUGAUCGACUCAUAAAAAAUAAUUAAUUUUGGAUAAUUGUAAAUAAAUUCUCUAUAUUUUUAUUAAACUUAAUAAGUCUUUUAAUAGGUUUAUAAUAUAACUAACAGAAAAAAAAAAAACUCAAAUAAUUAACAAAUAAUGAAAAAAUAGAGAAAGUGAUUGAAUAUUAAAAACCACUCAAUCAAGUUUAACAAUUACUAUCAACUAAUCUUAAAAACUAAUAUUUAUUACCAAUUAUAUCCUAAAAAUUAAGACAUUAAACCCAAAACGUAAACUCAAAUUUGAAUGACUAUUCAACAAGAAACGUCCAAUACCAUGGCUUAGAUGGACGAUGGUAAGUGGAAGUACGUUGACUCUGCCUAUGUGCCAGAUCCUCCAAGUGCUUAAUUGAUCAUGGCAAAUAAUUAAGAUCUUUUUUCUCGCUAUUCUAAAAUGUAAUCAAAUAAAAGCGUAUCUCUGUCGUGAAAAUAAGUACCUCUACUUACAGUCCAAGUGAAGAUUUUUUCAUGGUUUCUUUAAAUUAAGUUGGACGUUAAGCUUGCUUACCAGCGGUAGUUAUUCUAGGCCCUCCGGCAUCCAACGUAAUUGUAUUUUGUGUUCUUUUUCUUAAUAAUUAUUAUGAAUUAUCAUUACCCUUUGAAAAUUCUAGUAGUAUCUGUUAUGAAAGAUCAUUGCUUUUUGAGUUAUUUGGUUUCUUGAGCUCCGGUUAGAGAUUGAACCAAUAUAAAUAUUAAAUUUGAGAUUUAAUUCAAAUAAUUUAGUCAUAUUUUUUAAAAAAUGAAUUGAUGCAAGGUUAUAUUUAAUCCCCAACACUUGCUAUUCUUUUUUUUAUUAUUAUUCUCCAUCUCUUUUAUAUAUAAAAAAAAAUUAAUACUCUACAAUCACGUGACAAUUCCUUAAAAAUGCAAUUCAAAUUAAUCUAUGAAUUUUGGACAAUCUCAAUUGCAAGGAAGUAUUCAAGACGACGGAAAAUAGGGAAAAAAAUGCCACAAAGGCCUAGUAUGGUGAGGCCAAGCCCAGCCGAUGAGUUCUUCUACCAAUCCGUUGUUAUUAAAGCCCAGAGCUUAGUGGUCCAUAGAGAUUAGUGAGUGCUGGCUAGCAGCUACCUGCUGCAGGAUGCAGCCACCCACAAAAGAAAACCCGGCUGGUCAGCUCUGAAAGGGAUUAUAGGGGUCCUUCGAGGGUGUGAUUAGAUGGGUCUUAGAUCCAAUUUAACGCUUUGGAAUGGGGCAAUGGGCUGCCGGUGACAGUGAAAGAUAGUUUGAGUGGCCAUUAAUUUUCCCAAGAAUUUACAUAAGAAAAAAUCUUAUGCAUUCCUAUUUAUCGAUAUGGUCAUUUUCUAGUUCUGCAUGUAAUGCCCCUUUUUUUGUUAUUACGAAAAUCUGCCUUAUUACUAAUAAUAGUGUUAUUAUGAGAAUCUGCCUUUUACUAAUAAUAGUAAAUAUGAAAGAUGAAAAUACACAAAAUUAUUUUCUUUCAGUUUAGAAACCGUUCCCAUCUUGCUUCAUUUAUUUAUAUUAUCCAAAGAAGUACUAAAUCUAAGAAAUAAAAUAAAAUAAAUAUCAUGUAGUAAUGAAUCAAUUAUAUUAAUUAAUGAUCCUAAUCCAAAAUUUGAGAAUCUUAUAAAUGUAGGAACAUGAAUACAAUGGUUUUAAUAGGUUUUUUUAUGAUUCAAAAGGCAAAAUAUACUGUGAGUCACUUGUCAAACGAGGAUAAUUUGGUCAAUUUGAUUGAGCCAUUGUGUCAAGCCAAUAUGAAUUCUUGAGCUUCACAUUAAUUCGAUCACCUUAGUUGAUCAUUUUGUGGCAUAUAAAAAUGUUGAUUUGUUACCCCCAAAUUGGGCUGUUGAUUAUCAGCUCUGUUUGGGCAAACAACGGUAACCUUAACUCUGUUACUUGGAGCUCGAGCCACCUAGGCUCAAUGCUCUCACCAUACGAGUAUAAAUAAUCCAUUUUAGGUAUUAGCAAACGAUUAGAACUUUUCAUAUCUACUUUUUUUAUAUUUUCUUCUUCUCACUCUCUUAUCAAAAAUUAAUUUGAGAGUCGGAAUACAAAUGUUGAAAAAAAUUUCAGCCUUUUUAUUAAUCAAUUUCUUUAGUGUUUGUAGAUACUAAUUUUUGUAUGGAUAAAUCUUAAUUUUUGUUCAAGAUUUUAACUUGAAAAAUUGAGGCCCAUUUAAAUUUUAAUUGAGUCUUAUUGGGCUCAGUCUUGUUAUGAUCAUAUUGUUCUAACCCAAAGCUUUUUUAAAUCCAAAUUUGUUAAUUGUUAGUUACUUUCUUUUUUUUCCAAAAGAAAGGGACAGAAAUUGGAGCAUGGUGCCUUGCAUGCCACUAGCUCCCAUCAUUUUCCAACCACUAUACCUAGCUGCCACCAUCCGCCUAUUCUCCCCUUCCCCAUCUUUUCCCUUCCCUCACCUUACUAGUAGCAACCAAAUCCCAAAAAACCCGGGAUUGCAUUGCUCUUUAAAGAGAGUCAAAAUCAAGCGACAGGGGAUACCAUUUUUAUAGCAAAAGAACCCUGCCUAAAUGCUCUGGUGCCUUCACUAGUGCCUUUUCUCCAGCCUUUGCGACAUUGCCGAGAGACAGUCUGCCAAGAAAAACCCAUUGCCACACCCCAUCAAACCACCAAAAAUCCAUCCCCAUAUCACCACCAUCAACACACAGCAGAACCCAUUACCCAUAACCUAAACUGCCACUUCCCAACAACCGAACACCAAAACCCAAUACACUAUCCAAACUUGUCAAAAAACAAAGCAAAAAAAUACACAAAAAACCAUGUCCUGAUUGGGAACUGCAGCAGCACAAAGCUAAAAAAAAAGCUAAAAAAAAAAAACAAAAAAGGGGAAAAUUUUGAUUUGGGGAGGUUUGGAGCCUUGAUUUUUGGAAGGGAGAGAGGCUAGAGCUGGGUGAGAAAUAUACUCAAAAGAGGAAGCAUUUUGAACUGCAGAAAGAGCGGAUUUUAGGGAUUUUGGCCAAAACUUUCAAAACAGAUCUAGGUUUUAAGGGGGUGUUAUUGAAAGAUUGGGCGUUAGUGAGAUGAGAAGGUUAAGGGGAACAUUAUGACAAAAUUAAGGUUUAAACCGGCACCGGUGACCGAUUAGAGAGAGAGGGAGUGUAGAGAGAGAGGAAAGAAAAAUUAUUUUUGGCUUUUAUAACCUGAAAAAGAAUUACUUGACCCUUUUGUGGACCCGACCCAACUUGGCUCGACUGCUUAGGGCUAGCCUUGAACCGGUGUGCAUCAACCGGUGGCCGAAUCGCUUGAGCCACUUGAAAACCGUCUUGAAUCGGUGCAACUAAUUGCCCGAAUCGCUAGGAAAUAACUCCAAACCUGUUGACCGCUGAACCAGACCAGUGAACCGCUCCUGAACUAUUGACCACCUUUGAUCGAUCCUUUUGGCUAAUUUUUUUAUUUUUUAUUUUUUGUUAAGUUAUUUAUUUACUUAUAUUUGCAUAAUUAGUUUUUAAAAUUUUUAAAAAAUGGAAAUUCGUUAUAUAAAAAAGAGGUGUUGAUUUUUUUGAAAAGAAAAGAUAAUUUUUUUAAAAAAAUGAAUAAUUUUUUGAAGAUAAAAUAUUAAAACAAUUCGUUUUGGGAUUUUUUACAAAUUUUUAAGUGAGAAUUUUUUUUUAAAAAAAAAUACUAUCAAAAUGCCGAAAUAUUUUUUAAAAAUUCAAUACAAAAAGAUUUUCAUUUACUUAUUCUUUAAUAAAAAUUAAAAAAUAAUAAAAAAUGAAAAAAUGAUUUUUUAAAGGAAUAAAGUUAUAAUAAUGCUUGAAUAUUAUUUGCAUAAAUUAAUUUUUGAAAAAUAAAACAUCAGAAGAUAAAAUUUUGAGAAAAUUUAAGUAAUGAUUUUUAAUAUAUCUUAAGGUGAGAAAAAUUAUUUCAAUGUUACCAAUAUAUUGAAAUAUUUUAAGAGUUUUUCAAUAAUAAAGUUCUGUUUUAUUUUAAAUAAAAAUGGAAUAAUAAUUUUAAAAAAUAAAUAAAAAUAAUAAAAAGAGAGAAAUUUUUAUGAAAAAGGUGAAAUUAUAAAAAAUGAAUAAAAACAAAAAAGGCUAAAAUUAUGAAAAAAAAGGAAAGUAAGGAAAUUAAUUUUAAAUAUCAAAAUUAAAACAAAAUUUGUUAAUAUUAAAGAAUAACACAUGAUUAAUUGAUACUAUUUUUAAAAUAUGUAUUUUGAAGGUACAAAUUACUUUUCAUGCAUAACCUUAUUCUCAAAUCCAAAAUUAUUUUUUAAAUCUAAAAAUGAUUUUUUUAAUAAAUUUUAAUUGAUUUUAAGAUUUUAAUAAAAAAUAAAUUUUAAUACAUGACCAAUCACAUUUAGCUAAAAAUAUUACUAAUAACUUUUUUAUUUUCAAAUUUUUGUCUAACGAUUUCAAAACCAUUACAAUAAUAUUUUUAAAUUUUGUUCUCACAUAAAAAGUUUAGCACUAACAAUCCUAACUCCCAAUUAUCUUUAUGCGAUUCAACUUAAGGAUGUCAAUGAAUAAGGUAUGAUGAGGGUAGAGCAUUCUCCAUCCUCAUCUUUAUAUUUUUAUAUUAUAUCCAUUUUUAUACCCAUAUAUAAUAAAUAUUUUAAAUUUAUCCAUAUUUUUAUCUCCAUAAGUAUUUAAUAGGUAUGAUUAAUCUUUAUACCCACAUUUAAAAAAAAAAACAAAAAUUUAUUUUUUUUAGAUUUUUUGUUUUAUUUUGUAAAUUUAAAUAAUUUUUUAUAAAUAUUUAUUAAUAUAUAUUUUUUAAUAAAAAUAUAUUAAUUUUAAUUAAUGCAAAAUAAUAUUUUAUAUUAUUUAAUAAAAAAUCUAUUUACUAAAUAUAUAUAAAUAUAUAUAUAUGUAAAGUAUGAGUAUGGAACGGUUGUUAUAUUAUUUGUUUUCAUCUCUAUUUCGAUUCUUUUAAUCAAUAAAAAUUUAAGAUGAUAUUUAUUUUUAUUUUUAUACUCAUAACAUAAUAUUCAUUCAAUUUUUAUAUGAAUAAAAAAUCAAAUUUCUCUUUGUAAAAUUAAAAAUUCCCGACUCAGUUGAACAUAUAAAACUUGUAACAGAUGUAGAGAAGCCCCUAACUAGGGCUAUUUAUCAUUAUUGACGAAUACUGUUUUUUACAGGAAUUAAUUAUAGCUCAUAUAUACCAAAAACAAAGGAAUCAAUGCUCAUGCUUAUGAAUACUCUUAAUCAUAUCUAUUUAAUAAAUAAGACAUAUUUAUACUCGAUCGUACACUAAACUAAUAAUGAUAAAUAUACUAGUUUUCUUUAUAUUAAUUAAUAUAAAUUAAUUAUACUUGUCCCAGAGUUUGAUUAUUCGUCUGGUUCAAUAGUUUCGAUUGGAUUAAAGCCGGGUUUUAAAAAAGAAAAUUUAAGUUUAUAUUCGAGAUAUUAAAAUAUUCAUAAAAUAUUUUUAUUUAAUUUUAAUUUUAAAUAUAUUAAAAAUAUUAAAUAUUUUAUUAUUUUCAAUAUUUUAAUUUUUUUAAAAAGAUGAAAUCAGAACUUAGAACUAGAAUUUGACAAGACCAUGGAGAUAUAUUUAGUAUAAAUUAGGAUAUCAUUUUAUGUAAACAUCAUUAUCAUAUAUAUAUAUAUAUAAUCAUGAUAAUUUUAAUAAGCAUGGAAUUGACUCUCACAUAUCUUAAUUUUCUGGUUUGAUACCUUAAAUUUAACUCUUUUUUUUUUUAUAAAAAAUAAUUAUACUUGUAGUUGUUUAUAAUUGAUUUAUAUUUAAGAGUUAGGGGAAAAUGAAUAGUUAGGCCUACCGGUGGUAUUAUUAGAUAUCCCAAAAAAAAUAAAAUGAACCGACCUGAUAUUUUACAUGUUACUAUUAUUAGUUUAUCUGCUAAUUGAACGUGUUAUAUCCAUGAAAAAGAAAAACAAAAAAUAAUAGAACUCUUCUAUCCCAUAUACAAGUAAUUUAGAGAAAGUCAAUCCCACUUUCCAUUUGCUCAAAAAUUUUUGCUUUCGCAAAAAUCAAAAUCUAUAAUCUGCAAAUGACUGAUGCAAACCAAAUGCAACUUAUCACUUGCAGAAGAUCAUUGCUUUUCUGCCAAAAAUCUUAAUUUUGGGAGCAGAAACUCUCCUCUAUAUUCAGCAAAGCAUCUGGCUGUGCUUGAUUGGCCACUAUCAAUUACUUUUUGUCCACAAUUCUUGGGGAGAAAGUGAAAUAGUUUUUUAAUUUUCUUAAGUAUUUUUAGUUGACCUUUUGAGAGAAAAAAAAAAAAAAAAACUAUGACAAUUCUUAUAUUUGUUAGAUUUCCAUAUAAUUUUAUAUUCUUUAAGGAGCUGACCAAACUAGUUGGAGCAGUUGGAGAAGUUACCUGUCAGAUUUAUUUGCACUAUUACUAAAAAUAAUUUUUUAUUCAACCACUUCAUGUAUUUCCACUGGUGAAUUACUCUCUAUACUGAAAAAAAAAUUCAAAGAAAUUAUGGUUUUGUAUUCACAAAACUGAUAAAUUGAUAAAACUUCAAAAACAAUUGCAAUAAAAAUAUGGUCAACUACUCCUUUAUAUAAUCAAUUUGCUCGUUUCAAAUUUUUUUUUUUUAAUACAACGGCACAUAUCAAUUUGCUAUCUCACUCUAUAUUAUUGCAAAUGGCAAAGGCUCUGUGAGAAUGGCUGUGGAGAGAAAUGCAUUUUAACUAACGUAUUGAUCCAAAUAUAAAAUAGAAUUGUGUAAGGGGUAAUAUUACCAAAAUAGUAGUACAAACAACAAUGAUGGAGCAACUAAAUUGGAACUUGGAAUCGAAAUUAGCCAGCUAAUAAAUACAGGGAUAUCGGGGCUUUUGAAAUGUGUGCUUUCAGGUAUAUGAUUAUGGUGAUGUUCAGAUCUUGUACAGUAUGAAUCAUCUGCCUAAGCUCUUUGGCCGCAAAAUUAAAAAGCUGGUCAAAUAUGAUGUUCAGAUCCCCUUUGUUUGUCUCAUUUAAAAUUGACAUGGUUCCUCACCAAAGGACAAAUAAAGGGGAUCAUAUUCUUCUUCCUUUUCAAGUAACAUUUUAAAUGAGAUGAAGCAUUUGUCAUCACACCUAGAGGAUCUUCUGUCAUUAUAGUGAAUUUGAACGUCCCCUUGGUCUCUCCCACUUUGUAAUGGAAAAAAAUAGGACCAUAAUUUGGGAUUUAGACAUUUUAUUCAUAAGUUGCUGCCUUUUCAUUUUUACUCUUUUGAAAAAAUUUCCAAUAACGAGUGCUUAGGGCAGCAAGUCUGCUUCUAUUUUUUGUUUGUGAUUACUGAUGGAAUGGAAUCUUUCCCAUUUGGCUAUUCAAAUGAAGAGAAUUGAAAUUGACCUUAAGUUUGGACAUUAAUAAUUUUGUGAGAUGUUAUUCGUUUUAAUUCAAAUAUUUUAUAAUUUUAUCUUAAAAAAUACAUUUAUUAAAUAUAAAUAUAAAUUUAUAUAUACAUAUAUAUAUAUUAUAACAAAUCCUCAUAUUGGAGCAUUACAUAUGGUGUAAUAUAUUAUUGAAGAGAACAUGUUAGAAUCAUGAUGUUAAAUUUCUUCAAUAAUUUCCCUAUAAUUGUUCUUCAUAACACCUUAUUAAUUAAAAAAAUGCUUUCCCUACAUUAUUCAUAGAGAGAUUCCAGUGAAGUCAGCGUUCUCUCCAUGGAUGAUGUUAUUGACCUGGUGGAGAGUCAAACAACCCCAUUACCCCAUUAGCAGACGCUUAAUUUUAAUUGGGUCACUGCUUGUAGCUGUUAAAAGUAGUCUUUAGAUGUUGCUCUUGGCUUGUAGGCUUCUUGUGCCGUUUGUUGCUUUGGUUCAAUAAAACGGUUUCAAAAAAGAAAAACAAAGAUAAGUAUAGCUAAUUAAGCCCAGAAUACAGUGAACUAUCUGACAAAUAAGGGGUAAAUAAGAGUACUAAAGUGUAAUGGAAUCACUUAACUAAAAUUGAAGGGUGGAAGUACAUGGAAGCAAGAAAUACUACUACUUUAAGUUACCCUUGACCAAGGGUAGUUUCAUCAUCCAAAUAGUAAACUUAUAGACAUUACUUUGAUGUGUACGUUUUACCGGAUCAUUGAAGAACAUUAUCUUGGUUAUCUGUGUUCCAUUUAGAGCUUAGAAGCCUUGAAGAAGACAUUAAAAUUUGAAUUCGAUCCAAAUACCCUUCUCUUUUUUUAUGUAACACAGUGUUACUUUUUUUUGAAAAAAAAAAAAAUCUUGGUUAUCUGCGUCACAGACAAUUUAGUUUUCCUUCCAAAUUAAUGCCACUUCAGCCUAUUUGACAAAUUAAAACUAAAAUCAUCAUUCUUUCCGCAGGGUCAACCAAGACGCUUCAGAAAGGCUCAUAAAUAGCCGACUUUGCUUUGCAUAAAGAGCACAGCACAUAUACAACUUCACUAGCCUUCUUGAGCAAUCUUUAUUCCCUUCUUUUGCAAUAAACUCUCUUCAAUAUUUCUUGUUCGAAGUGAGAAACAUGCAAACCCCAGUGAGGUUUUCGAGCUGCAGAGGCGUGGCUUUCGAGAUCAAACCUCAUGCAAACCCAUUUGCUAUUCCAACUCCAGCUCAAAAUGAGCCUUGUAGCAGCAGCAAAAAAUCUUGGUUUCCUUGGUACCUAGGGAGCUCAUCCGGGGUGUUUCCUAAUUCUUCCAUACAAAGGUCUGUGAGUGGAGCAAGCAGUCACUUCUGUGACCUUGACCUCGACGAAGAUGAAAAUGAAAAUGAAGAUGAUGUCAUAUUGGAAAGACUAGAAGAGGGAAAGGAUGAGGAGAAAGGAGAUAAGCCAAUUUUUCCAUCCUUAAGCAAAAGUGAACAAAAACCAAAGCCAACUCGCAAGCAGGAAUCAAGAUUAUCAGUCAUUUUGCUUGACCAAGGGCUGUUCACUGUAUACAAAAGACUCUUUGUGGUCUGCUUAACCCUGAACAUCAUUGGUUUGGGGCUUGCUGCCACUGGACACUUUCCAUAUGCAAGAAAUAGAGCUGCCCUUUUCUCCAUUGCCAACAUUCUUGCUUUGACACUCUGCAGAAGCGAGGCAUUCCUGCGAGUAGUCUUUUGGCUUGCAGUUAAAGUGCUGGGAAGGUCUUGGGUACCUUUCCCAAUCAAGACUGCUACCACAUACCUCCUCCAAAGUCUUGGUGGGAUGCACAGUAGCUGUGGAAUUUCUUCUGUUGCAUGGCUCAUAUAUGCCUUAGUUCUUACUCUCAAUGACAGAGAAAAUACUUCUCCUGAGAUCAUUGGUGUAGCCUCCACUAGUCUUUCCCUUCUCUGCCUCUCAUGCUUGGCCGCAUUUCCUCUAGUACGCCAUCUCCAUCACAACGUCUUUGAAAGGAUUCAUAGAUUUGCUGGAUGGACUGCUCUUGGUCUGCUUUGGGCUUUUAUCAUCCUUACAAUCUUCUAUGACCCAAUAACCAAAUCCUACUUUUAUUUUUUUGUAAGGAUAUUUUAAUUUUAUUUCUUUUGCAUGGGAUUUUUUUUUUCACAUCAUUACUUUUAUUUUUUUCAUCUCUGAUCUCUUCACUUUCACUGUCCUUUCUUAUCUCCUUAUAAACAAAAAUAAAAACUUUAGAAAUCUUGCCUUUUUUUAGUAAUGUUAGUUCAAUGCUUGAGAACAAACCCACUUUUAUUUAAAAAACAAAAUGAAAGCUAUUAACCCAUUAUAUUUCCCUUUUUUUGUUUUCUUGGGCUUCUUCAAAUUGAAAGAAGCUCUGCAAUUUUUUUUUUUAAUGGGUUGCAUUUUGGUGUUGACAUGUAGAACAAAGAGAUACUGUUCUGGGUUCUAAAGCCGAUUGGGGAAUCGUUGGAGAUUUGAUGGAAUUAAAAUAAUUAAUGCUUUACUUUUUGAAUAUUUCAUGUUUUGAUUCAAGCACCGUAAUCGUAUUUGAUUUUCAGCUUUGAUUUGUUGUCGUUAUAUUUGAGGUAAACUUUUGAUUUUUCUGUAAAUUUUUUGUUUCAAAAAAAAUCUCUUAAACUGUUUCAAUAUAAGUACAUUGAGAAAAUUUUUUUUUCCAAAAAAGCUGAAACAAAUACAAACGUAACGCAACCCUGCAGAGAGAGAGAAGAGGGGAGUGAGUGAAGGAAGGAGAAGCUGAUGUGGAAUUUUGGUCAAAACAAUGUUUGUUGUUGAUCGUAGGUCUUGGUUUUUUUUUGUUGCUGCUAUCAUGAAUGGUUCUACUAGGACAUUGAUGCUUAUCAUCAGUUGUGUGCUUCUUGUUGUAGGCGUUGGAUUGCUAAUUUUGAUAUUCCUCUCACCUUUUUAUUAUCAUCCUGUCUACACUCUACUUUUCAGAAGACUCAAGCGUCACUUUGUUUAUCCAAGACCACCUGUUCCGGUUUAUCUAUCAAAAAUGGCACCAGCGAAGAAUCAGGAGCGCUCAACAUAGGCGUAACCUUGCAGGGAGAGGCGAGAGAAGUGGAGGAAGGAGAAGCCGACGUGGAAUGAAAUUGAGUGAAGCUAACUUUAUUUAGGAAUAAAAUUUAGAAGUAUUCUAGUUAAGGAUCUAAGAUUAAAAAGUACCUUGGUUUGGAAAAAAAAAAUUUUUUUUGAGAGAAAUUCCUAACUUCACCAAGUAAAAUCUCUAAACACUAAACACAGCAUGUAAUCCUGAUCUCUAUAUAAUUUUUUAAACGCAAAACCCAAGUUACAUGGAUUGCAUUAUAAUUAAUGGGAUCAAUUGAUCUUAUUAAAAAUUGAAAUUACUCUAAUAAUAGGCAGGUUAUUAUAGAAAAUAAAUUUUGAGAAUAAAUCGAUCUGAUUUCUAUAUGUGUAAGGGUUAAUAUGUAAAAUAUAUAGUAUAUUAUAUAUUUUUUGUUAGUUUAAUAUUUUAAAAAAUAAAAUUCUCAUUUUAAUACUUCAAUUUUCAUUCCUAAAACAUGUUGGUACUUUGUAAUGAUAUUAUCAAUUAAAUAACUUACGUAACAUAAAUACUUAAUAAAAUCACAUUAGAUGUCAUAAAUAUCUAGUUAUUAUUAUGUCAAUAAUUAUAAUAUCAACAAAAAUUUUAUUUUUUUCUCUUUCCCUUAUUCUUUCUCUAUUUCUCUAUUUUGAUUUUUGAAUUAAAAAUAUAUAUCUUUUAAAAAAAAUUAAAAUUUUUAUUUAAAAUUUAACGUGAAAAAUAAAUGAUGUGAUAAUUAAACAUUUAUAUCAUUUUUCAUGAUUUAUUGGGUACUAAUGCCACAUGAGUAAAUUGACUAAUGGUGUUAGAUUGAGUGUCAAAAUAUUUGACAGAAUAAAAGUUUGCAUAUUAAAGUAAAAAUUUUAUUUUUUUAAGUACCAAAUUGAUAAAAAAAAUAUAUAGUAUAGGGGUCAUUUUUGUAUUUAAUCAUAUAUGAAAAUUAUAAUUUGUUAAAAGGAAAAGGGUUAAAUGUAAAAAAAUUUAUGUAUUAUAUACUUUUUGUUAGUUUGAUACAUAAAGAAGUAAAAUUCUUACUUUUAUAUUAAAACUUUCAUUCCAUUAAAUAUUUUGGUAUUUAAAUCUAACAUUAUUAAUUAACUUGCUUAUGUUGCAUUAAUAUCUAAUAAAAUUAUAACAUGUGGUAUAAAUAUCCGAUCAUUGUCAUAUGUUUUAUUUUUUACAUCAAUAUUUAUAUAAAAAAUUUGAAAAUUUUAAAAAGUAUAUUUUUUAAUUCAAAAUAAAAAAUAUAUCUUUUUAAGAGAAAGGGAAAGAAUAGGGAAGAGAGAAAAUUUUUUGCUAUAAUGAGUAGACAUUUAUGACAUUUGAUAUAAUUUUAUUGGGUAAUCAUAUCAUGACAAUCACAUAAAUGACGAUAAAUUAUCAAAAUAUUUGAUGGAAUGACAAUUGAAAUACCAAAAAGAGAAAUUUUCUUUAAAUAUUAAAUUGAUAAAAAAUGUAUAAUUCAAAAGACAUUUUAUGUAUUAACCUAAAGGAAAAACAUAAAAUAUUGCAUACCUAUACCAUAUAAUUCAAUAUUCUAGCACGAUGUUGCUUUUAUUAAUUGUUAAUCAGUCUUUUCAAUUAUUCUUCCAUUGAAUUAAUUUUCUUGGAAUGAUUUUUUUUUUUGGGGGGGGGGGGGGGGGUUGCUUACAGUUCUUCAGGCAAGCAUUUCCACUUUUCCAGAUGCUGUAGUUUUAGACAGCUUUUCCAGAUGCUGUAGUUCUAAAAUAACCAAAAAUUAUAUCAUCUGGUACUACAUAUGGCCAAGCACUUGCUGCCAGAAUUGCUGAUUCAUUUGGCAAAGGAUUUUUUCUAUUGGCUAAUCAUUGAUAUAUGUGUGAAUGAUAAUUCACAGAAUGCAAUGGGCUGCUUAAAAACUCUUCUUAUGGGAGAGACUGGAGGAAAUGAGUUCAACUCUGCAUUUUUUUUUCAAGGGAUUACGACUUACGACUAAUUUGAUAUGAGGACGAGUAUUUGAUGUUAUCAAUGUCAUUUCUUCAGCAAUUCAGGUAAGAACCCUGGGACAAGUGAAGAGCCAGGGCAAACUAAACGGCCAAAAAAUUCAUUCCUUAACUACGUUUUGUUUCAGUUUAGUCAGUAACAAGGAUGGCAUCACAAAGCAUUUCAGGCAAAUUUCAAAGAAUAUUAACUGUAUUAUUUUGAUGUGUUGCAAACUUUUGUGAAUAAUUAUUAAUGGAUGUUUCCUUCAAUACAACGUAGGAGUUAAUCAAAUUGGGGGCAGUGAUAUUUCUGGCUCCAGGAAAUCUACCAAUUGGAUGUGUGCCAAUCUAUCUAACGCGUUUUCAGACUUCUAAUAAGCAAGAUUAUGACCGCUCUGGUUGUUUGAUUUGGCUAAACGAGUUCUCCAAGUACUAUAAUGAAAUGCUUUAAAAAGAACUAAAAAAAAUCUGAAGGUAUCCUCGAGCCAACGUUGUUUAUGCAGAUUAUUACCACGCCGCAAUACCAUUAUAUCGUUAUCCAAGGAUGUUUGGUGAUUUUGUCUUCUUUAUCUCACAUUAUUUCACUAUUAACCUAAUAACUUAAAGCAUAUGUUGUUACUAACAGCUUAAUCCCGUUUCUAUCCAGGAUUUAAUAGGACUAGUACUGCCUGCUAUGGAGGCGGAGGUCCAUAUAAUUUUAACUUCUCGUCAGGUUGUGGUAGGCCAGGCACAAAAUCUUGUGAUGAUCUUUCCUCGCAUGUUAGCUGGGACAGUUCCAUUUCGCAGAACCAACCUAUAGAUUGAUUUUCAAGGCUCUUCUGGAUGGUUCACGUACCAUUCCUGGGCUCGAUAUUCCCUGUUCCUGAUCAUCUGCCCGCAAGUGAUUAACACAAUAAUAUCCAAGCAUAGCCUUAGAGAAUGAAAGAUGCUUUUCUUCUUGCAUUUCUAAUUUUCAGAUGUCUACCUGUUAUCAUCCAAUUGGUUCUGUAACCAUCCCUGCUAAAAAAAUGUAAGCUUUAAUCAUAUUAUUAUUCCCUGUAACAAAGUCCAUGUAAGUUUAGUUACUGAUCACAUUUUGUUUCUUUUUUUUUUUUUUUUCUUUCCCUUGAAUUAGCUUUGCCUUUCGGUCCAUAGUUUUUCCUCCUCUUAGCGAUGCAUAAUCUAAUUGUAAACUUGGUAAGUACUUGUAAAUUCAUAAAUUUUCUGGCAGAUGAUCUGUUAUUGGUUGAAAACAAAGAAGCAGGGAAAAGAAAUAAAAAUAAGCAUCUUUUUCUUACCAAUGGUUCUGGUCAGCCUGGGAAGCUUUUCAGCAAGAGUUCUACAUCGGGAUUGGAAUUGCAACAGGAUCAAAGGUUGCAAAGGGAAACAUCGACUUUGUCAAAACUCUAUAUGAUCGAGUGGUUCUUGACAAAGACACGGAUCUUGCCCUCAGGAUUGCCCGAAUAGAAACCUCAGUUUGCCAACUCCGUCAAAUAUUUUCGAUUUUUAAUUCGGCUAAUUUUAAGUUUUCACUACUAUAAUGAUUGCCGACGGCAACUACUGUCACAAAUUCACAAUUAUUAGAAUUAAUGGAGCCUUUUUUUUUUAGGCUUUCUUUUUUAAACCUUUUCACGUUAAAUAGGAGUUAUGUUAAUUUUUGUUUCAAAAGAGCUUUAAUUAAUUUGAUAUCAAAUAAUUGAUUUCAAUAGAAGGACAAGUCCAAACAAAAGGCUCAUAACAUUAAGAACAAAGGAAUGUUACGCUUUGUAGGCUCCCUUCCCUUUUCUUUGAUGAUCAUUUACUUCUCAGUUCUAGAAAUUUUCUUAUUUCUCUUUAUUGGGCAUCUCUCAUUUUUCUUCUAAAUAGCGGCAGAACUGCCACUUGUUCAAGGAAAUUUAAACUUAUCAAUCCUCCUCAGAAUUACCUUGUUUAAUCAGCCUACAUCAUAAGGAACUAUCAGCAGAUUAGCAAAGUAUUAUUUGGAAUAUUACAUUUUAAUCGUCUGACAAACCUCACAGCAAACUUUAACUGGUGACACAAUAUCCCUUUGCGUGAAAGCAAUAUUAUAAACAGCAAGAAAAACCAGGGAACUUGAAUGUGAUCAUAACCUUCUAAUUAAUCCACUUAAUUUUGGUUGGCAAACUUAAUUCCUUUCUGAAUAGAAGCUUUGAGUUCCGGUUUGAGAUUCUCAAGACCCUGUUUUUCAAAUUCAGAAAGUGGACCCAGUCCAAAGACUUGCUCAACACCAUCCUUUCCCAGUUUUACCUGCAAUUUCGAUAUGCAAAAUUGAGAUUUGAUAAACAAUCCAAAAGGAACAUCCACCCAAAUAAUAAAACUAAACAAAUACAUAUAAACAAGAUUAGCAAAUAAGCUUCCCACUGCAGUUACUUUAUAGCAAUAUGAUAUGGAUUUCUGAAUAAGUCCCACUACAAGAGUUCUAGUAUAUAGUUCAAAACACUAAUGCACCACCUACUAGUCCAACCUAUGCGAUGAUUUCACAAGUUGGAUACGACCAGCAUCAACUUAACUUUUGAAAAAUAUAGUAGUCUGAGGUCAUAUUUGAUGCAUAGGAUAAUAGACAGGAUAGUAAGAUAAUAAUUUUAUAUUAUGUUUGGUUUGUAUCUAAUUGCAAGAGAUAAAAUUAUAAGGAGGAUUACCAUCCUCUUGAUAUAAGAUGAUUCAAUUCUCUCAAAAUCGAAAAUAUUAUUUUUAAACCAUGGGAUUAACUUACAUGUCCUAUUAUUAUACCAUUAAAAAUUACAUCAAUAAUUUAAAUUGUAUAAAUUUUAAAAAAAGAUAAUUUUGACUAAUAAAUAAAUUAUUCUAUUUUAAUUCUUGCAUACAUCCAACAUAAGAUAGGAUGACAUUAUUUAAUCUAACCUUAUUCAUAAUAUCAUCUUAUCCUAUCCUAUCAUAAUCUUGUAUACCAAACGUGAGCUAAAAUCAUUUAGGCUCAGGUAAUUGGCAUUACUUUUUCCACCUACUUGGUAGUGUUAUUGAUCAAAGAUAAUAAAAGCUACAGUGCGUAAACUCAAUAGCAAAUCGAUCUUGAAACUUCCAAUAAUAAUAAUAAUAAUAAUCUAUUUUCCAUGAAUUAGAGUUUACUGCUCUUACAAAUAAAUGAAUGCCAAACUUAUAACCUAAUGAAUUUCUACCAAAAAAUAAAUUAAGAAGAAUCUACUUGCUAUAUGCUUAUUAAUUAUCAAGGAUUCAAGACCAUAAAUUCAACCACAUUGGCCAAGAUGAACAUUGCAACCAAAAUCAUGUAGCAGUUCAUGAGAUGCCAUAGAGAUUCAUAGUUAUCUGACAACACAAACAUGGUCAUAUUUGGAAGAAAUCUGUUUGAAUAUAAUUGCUUAUAUUUUGAUGAUAUAAUAGUUAAUGAAACCUCUAUGUCAGGGCCAUUAAGUUAUCUUUAUAAGUCAUGAUAGUCAUUAUCAAACAAAAAGAUAACAAAAUAAAAAACCAUAAAAGUUCCAAUGACUUUUAUCUAGUCACCUGGGAGGCAAAGAAUGGUAAUUCAGUGACACUUGAUUCCACAAAAGAGCACUCGACAAUAGCUGGGACUCCAUUAAGCCCCUUUAUGCAAGCAUCAGCAAAAACAGCACCCGCAUAGCUGCACCAGAUAUGAUCAAUUAGUUUCAAGAGCAUAAAUAUUCACUUCAAAUUUACUUGAAAAGUUUCAGCACCAAAAAGAUAAAAAUAAAUUUUGUCCCCAAACCCUAUUCUGCUUGUUUCAGGAGAUUAAGCGAUCAUGAGUAUACGCAAGAGCUCAUGCAGCUAAAACAUGGUGGAGGAAGCAUUCUGCUAUUUAAGGACAAGUGCUAGAAGAGGGAAAGAUUUAUCUUUUAUAUGCACCUUCCUCUAACACGAGCAAUGGCUUCUGGCAUGGUAAUCUCACCUCAACCAUAAUUUACAAAACCCCCCAAAGAUGGCACAACAGAUAGUAGAAAAUUAAUUACCAAUGAAGAAAACAUGGAAGGAAACAAGAUGACAGCAGUAAAUACUUACGCCAUUGACAGUGUUGCAGAUCCUUUUCCUGCUUUUGCUUCAACAACUUCUGUUCCUCCAUCCUGUGUUCUCUUAGUAAGAGCCAUUAUGUCAUCAUCCGGCAAGUUGGCUUUUGGUGCGGCCUAUUCAUUCAUAUAUAAACAACAAAAUUGAAAUACUAAACCGGCAACCACAAUUAAACUUAGAACAAAAAAUCCAAUGUGAAAUAUAGAAAAACCAGAGUACAAACAAAACACACACACUCGCCCCCACACACAGAAGGGAAAAAGGAGAGACCUGAGAAAAGAGUGGGAGGAUGGUGAUGCCAGCAUGGCCACCAAUUACCGGUACAUCAAUAUCUGCAAUAUGCAAUAAACAAGGCCAAAUACUAUAAACUUUCUAUGUGUUUUUGCAUUUUAUUGGCAACAUAAUAGACUAUAAAUAAAAAGGAAUUUACAAAGUACUCAAAGCAAGAAAAUAAGCAAUACCGGCUACAGGUACUUUAGCCUUUCCAGCAUAGAAAGUUUUAGCCCUGAUCACAUCAAGUGUAGUCACACCAAACAACUUUCUCUCAUCACGGGUCCCUGCUUUUUUGAAAACCUCAGCAGCAAUAGGGACUGUUGAAUUCACUGGAUUACUUAUCAUAUUGACCAGUGCCUACCCCAAAAAUAAGUAGAAAAUUCAUGACAUAAGCAUAUGCAUAGGCAAAAAUGUAAGUAGGGAAGACAAAGUGAGGGACUCACAUUAGGACAAUAUUUAGCAAUGGCUACGCAUAAGGAUUUCACUAUCCCAGCAUUGAUAUUGAAAAGAUCAUCACGGGUCAUUCCAGGCUUUCUUGGAACACCAGCGGGUAUAAUCACAAGGUCAGAUCCUUCCAAUGCUUUACCCAGCUGUUCUUCACCCACAUAGCCUGUAACCUAAUAGCCAAAAAAGCAAAAACAAAAAGAAAAGCCUGAAACCUAAUAGCAAAAAAAGCAAAAACGAAAAGAAAACGAAAACUUUGCCUAAAAACAAGAACUUGAAUUGAGAAAAUAUAACCCUUUAUUCUCCACUUAGAAACCAAUUUUUUUCAGUCACAAAAUUACAAUAAUGAUAUAUACUAGUAAAAGUAAAUUUUCUAUAUAAAGAAAAAUAAAGCUACUUUCAGAUAGAACAUAAAUAUAAAGAAGGAAUGUAAUGAAAGAAAAAGAAGAAAAAAGACCUGAGCAGGAGAGUUAAUGUGACUGACAUCAGCCGCAACACCGGGAGUGUUGGCUAUAUCGUAAAGAGAAAGGGAAGAGACAAAUGGGUUUAGCUUCAUUAACAGAGACAAUGGCUGUCCAAUGCCCCCUGCCGCUCCCAGUAUCGCAACUUUCCUUUCGGGGUACCCUGUGGAGUAGUAGGCCCUACUCAGGAGAUGGGUUGAUACACAUGGGCUCGGUGACGCAGUCGUGGCCUUCUUUAACGCCGCCCCUGCAGAUUUCAACAUGGUAAUCUUCAUUUUUUAAGGUAGAAGACAGGCGAGUAGGUUGUUAAGCUUUGAAGGGAAAAUGGAGCAAGAGAGCUUUAAAAAAGAGUGGCGAGUAUCACUGAGAAAAGCGAAUAAAGGAAAAAGGAAAGAGAAAAUAAAGUUGUGGUUUUCGAUAAGUUGGAUUCUGCUAAUGAAAUUUUGACACGUGGACAACUUUUUGAAACUGAACUGAGCUAAGACCUAAGAGCCUGAGACAACCUGCUGGCCAAGAAAAAGAAACUGAGCUAGACAAUUAGUAGUAGCAUUUUGAAGCACUUAAACAAAAUUUUUAAUUGUUUUCACCAAUUCAAGUUGUCCCUCCACGGAACCCGCCUAGGCCGGAGGGGAUUCUUCUUCUGAACACUGGACAGGGCGGCACCCAAUAUUUAAAGACCCUAUUUGCAACAAAAUACACUGAUAUAAAGUAACUGAAACUAUGAAAAACGAUCAGAGUCCAAAGAGAAACAGACAAUCACUAGAAGAUGACAGUUCGCCAACUACAAGAAAAGACCACACAUGAUGUUGUCAUCGUCCUAAAUUUUAGUUGGUUGCUCUCUUUCUGCUUCCCUUGCCUGUAUUAGAUUCACUUGACAGUUCAAAUUGUAGUGUUAAAAUUGGAGCACACUAUGCAGAGACAUGGUUUUGGGACAUACGCACCAGAUUUCCUGGUGUUGUUGAGAAUUUCAAGAGCCAUUAUUGUUGGCAGCAAAAGGACAAAAUCCUCGUUGCGUUCUGCUAUUCAUAGGAACAUGCUGAAAACCAUUCCAAAAAGAUAUGGCUUGGCUUGAAAACUGAACUUAUUUCUGAGCUUUCCACUUAAAUAAUAAUAUUUAGUUUUCACAGGGUAAUAGCAGGUUAAUUUCAAGAGACCCCCAAAACACUAGACAUGGCUGAGGCAUUCAAGCUUUAUUAUUUUUACCCCUUUCGAUAAUACCUUUAUUCUUGAUUAAUGGUAGUUUUGGGCAACACCCUUAUUCACAAUCUAGUCAUUGAUUAGCUCUUUUUGCUCAUAAAAAUUUUUAUUCACCGCGAUCAUGUACAAGAAAUAGAAAAAACGCAACAUGUCAACAAGAGUAAUUCCACAAUUUACAAAGUAUAAUGCAGUAACAAGAUUGACGGAAAUCUCAUCCAGGCCAAUCAAUUCUGUCCUUCUAUCUUAUUUCAAGCUUAUGGUGCUUCAACUUUGCCUUUACCUAAACAUUCAGGAUCAACAGCACUACUGAGGAUUUGGAGGACGGCUAUUAGCAGAGGCAACCCUGGAUCCCCAUUCCAGCAGCUCUUUGCUGGUGUCAUCUUUGUGUGCAAAAACUUCAAUGAAACAUAAUGAAUCCUUUUUGGCUUCUGUUGCUGUGGCAAUUGCUUCUUUUAGUUCAUCCUCUGUCCGCACCUACAUUUAAGAAUAAAAGUAUUAGUUUAUGCUUACCAAUGAGGUACUCUGCAUUACCUGUGGAUGCAUCUAAUCAUUUAAAAAAUGAAACUAUGAUAAACUUUAAAAAAUGAAACUAUGAUAAACUUUUCGAUUCGGAAACUUUGAUCAACCUAUGCAUGAUUUGGAAACUUUGAUAAACAGAUGCUUGCUAUCGUGGAUAGGUCCAGAAAUCUAUCAAAAUUUCCCAAUAACAACGAUAGAAUUUUUUGCAAUGAACAAGAUAAUCAGAGAACUAUAGCCUAAUGGAAUUAUGGAACAACUAAUUAUGCAUUUAUUAUGUUUUUAUCAUCUUGAUUAAGCUAUGGCUUGUUGGGCAGUUAUGCUAAGUUACUAACCUUGGUUGUCCAGCAUUUGCCUUCACCAUUGUGGAUGGCAUCAACAAGGCCACUGUAAUUCCAGUUCUUGAUAACAUUGUAAGGGCCAUCAUGAAUCUCAACUUCAAUUGUAUAGCCUCCAUUAUUGAUCAGAAAUAUAACACUUUUUUGUCCACAUCGGAUCAUUGUUGAAACAUCUUGAGCUGUCAUCUGAAUAAUUGAAAGAAAGAAAUUAUUUAGUUGCUACAUCUUUACCUUAUUCAAAUAUAGAAGUAAAUUAUUCGCUAUUUGUUAGUUCCAACUUCCAAGCAAAUAUUGCAGUUUAUGAGUUUCCCAGCCUAGAUUUAGCUUCUCUUGUGUUUGUCAUAUAUAUGGAGUAACUUUUUCUUGAAAAGAACUAAUUGAGUUGCUUCACAACUUGUCAAAGAAUUGAAACAGUAAAAAUUACUUUUCUAUAUCAUUGUCAUUUCAAAUGCUUGUGGUUACCCCUAAAUGUGUCAUUGAAGUACUAAAUGCAAAUUAUAUUGCGCACCUGGAAACUACCAUCACCGAUACAAGCAAUUACACGCUUGUCUUUAGCAGCCUGAGCAUAUCCAAGUGUGGCACCAACUGACCAACCAAUGGAUCCAUACUGCAUCUGGAAUUCAUAACUGCAAGCAAUAAAAAUAAUCAUUAUGCCACUGCAAAAUAAACAAACAUAAGUCUUACAAGAAACUCGAAGAAAUCUACCAUUUGAGAUGAUCUGGCUUACCCGCAAUUCUCUGGAAGACGGAGCUUCUGACAGUUGAACCAUGAGUCUCCAGUUUCAGCAAUAACUGCAGAGUCUCCGCUUAGCAUCUCCUGUUAAACAAGGUCCGCCAAUAAAAUGAGACGAAUCAGCUAAAUGAAAGACAAAAGAAUCAAAUGAAGUGUUCACAUCUGCUUAUGCAUUUUAAAGUCUAAACAAUUCAUAUUGUCUCAAAGAUAUCAUAGAGAUCUUACAGAUAAAGUUAGAGGAAAGAACAAAGGAUAAGAAUGUUACAGCAUGAAGUAAAGAAAGUGUUUCCACCUUCCAAAGAAAUAGAAAUUAAAGCAGUAAGGGCCAACAAGACAUGUCUUACACACUUAAGUAUAUCUGUUAGUCAACCACAUUAAUUAUUCAAUAUGAAGGUUUCCUAAAGGGCUAUUAAGAUUCAUAUGCUCAUUCCUUCGGUGAAUCUAUAUUUUAAAAUAUAAUACUGUAGAGAUUUCAUGACCUUGGUGCCUACCUGAAUGUGCUUAAAGAGAACAUUGACUCUCAGAGGCUCAUCAUUUCCAUGCUUCAGAGGCAUGCCUGGGGGGAUAAAGAUUCGCCGAUAGUUCUCCACAGCAGUUCUAUUUCUCUUCAGCUUCUUGGCUAACGCACUUAAGAAGUCAGCCAUGAAAACCCACCCAAAAGAAGGACCGUUGCCUAUAGUCACACGAUUAGGUUGCACCAUGAUUGCUUUCUCCUUCUUGACCAACAAAGAGUACCCUACAGAGCUGUAAUCAUUGAAGAUCGGGCCAACAAAAACAUAGGCAUCAGCAGAUUCCACUAUCUCCCCGCAAAAGCUGGUGCUAACAGCACCCCAAUAUGUUCCAAUAAAGUGUGGAUGGUGUUCUGGAACCAAUCCCUUGGCCGAGGGCAUUACAGCAAUUGGAUACUCACUGGCAUCUGCAAGCUCUACAAAGGCUUCUUGUGCCUUUGCAACCCUUAAUUUGGGUCCACCCACAAGGACAGGCUUCACAGCUUUGUUCAGAAAAUCAGCAGUAGCUUCCACAGCUGCUUCUAAUCCUAAUUGAUUGCUUACCCUGCAUAAAAUUGUAAAGAAUGAGCAUCACAAGCAUGUAACUUGGUGCCAUACAUGUCUGAAACAGACACUCCUCUGUUUAAUAGGCCAUUCUAAUGAAUAAAACUUUCACCCAGCAAUCAAGGGCACUUUCUCAGUGGUCUGGACAAAUGAAAAAAAUACGAUAUUAGUUUUUUUAAUGAAUGCCAACACAAUACUUUGCUCUCUGCAUUGCACAACUGUGAUACAUGUAUGAUGUACCUAGAUGUCCUAUAAAAUUUAGCUCAAGCUCGAAUAAGUCCAAUUACAUCGGCACGCUAAAGCUAUGGAUAGUUUCCCACAAAAUCUGCCUCUGCCCUAGCUUAUGGCUAACACUAGGGCCCUUUGAACCUUUCUAAUAGCACUGCAGAAAACAGAACACCUCUGUUUUCUUAUUCAAAAUUUCAACCAUUUCAUUUAUAUAAACUAAUGUUUCUCUUUCCUUCUGGCCAGGUUCGUUCCUUAGCUUCAAAUACCCUCCAUUCACCAAGUUAACUAUAUAUAAUUAUCAGUAAUACAUGACAGACAGGUUACAGAAUUCACAACUCUUAACAACCUUCUCCAAGCAUAUGAAAUGUUCCUCACUUAGAUGAAUAAAGGAAAGUACUCAUUUCCCAAUUGCACAUCCCAAUUCCUCAAAAAUAUACCACUAGCGGUGUACUGAUAACUCGGGGAAAGACUAAUCUAGGUAAUAAAGUAAAGUAAGAAGUCAGAGGAAAACUUUACUUUGGAGCAAGGAAGAAGGGCACUGGCUCUCUAGCAAAUGUUGGAUGAGGAAUUCCAGGCAAAUUACAGCUGAUACUAAUGUAAACCGGCUUGCUUUCCUUCAAAGCUGUCGAUAUUGCAGUAUCUAUAAGCUCAUGUGCAUCAUCCAAGUUAUUCACCACUGCCUGUCAUAUUAGAUCACCACCACACCAUCAUCAAUGUAUUAAUUAACUUACUGUAUAUCAGGUAACUUACAACAAGUAUAAAAAUUACAACGAAAAUAAGCAAACACUAAGGAUAUAUUAAAGAAUUGCAUAAAGACAUCAUAUUUAUUAUUGAAUAAAAAUGAAAAAGUUUCUUUAACUUACUUGGGAACAGGUGAUCGUUUGAAAACACCUCAGUUCUUGGCUAAAAUCAGGCAACCCAAUAGUAUGAUGCAAAAUUCGGUUGGUCCCGUAGUCAUUGGAAUUAGGCCCUCCAACUAUGCAUAUAACUGGCAGAUUCUCACUGUAAGCACCAGCAAUAGCGUUAAGAACGCUGAGGCCUCCAACAGUGAAAGUCACCACACAGGCUCCCACGCCUUUAGCACGUGCAUAACCAUCAGCUGCGUAUCCGGCAUUAAGCUCGUUGCAGCAUCCGAUCAAGUUCAGCUCAGGUUCUGCUAUGAGGUGAUCCAAAAGGGUCAAGUUGAAGUCACCAGGAACUGAGAACACGUCCUUCGCACCAAUCUCCACCAGCCGCCUUGCCAGGUGGCCUCCUAAGGUGCCACUCGAGGCACGUCCAUUGAUCCCAGGAGGUAAGGAAGUGGGAUGAGCUGAUGAACCGAUUUUGUUACCAGCAUCCAUGCAGUAUAAGUUUUUGUAAUAAAAUGACACUUCAAGAAAGAAGGAAGAGUUGGGAACUUUCUGAUAUGAGUGAUGUUAAGAAACAUAGUAUUGAAAGUUAAAUAAAUUGGUGCGUUUUUAAAGGUUUGACGCAGGUAUUAUUCUAAGUUUUGUGACGAGAAAGUGGGUUUGAUUAACAAUGGGCUGGUUUCAAGGAAAAAGGCAACGAUGCUAGAAAAGUCACAUUCAUUGGCUAGGCUUUGAUGGUUUUCCUUUUUAUUUUUUUUACAGUAGAAGGAUUAAGUGAAAACCAGGUUGUGGUUUUUCUAGUUUAUAUAAUUUAUGGUAUCGCUGUAGGUUUGGAGCAGGGUUUUUGAUUAUUAAAAGGUUUUGGGGGUGGGAAUAUUUAGGACUUAUGCGAGGGAAUAAUGGUACGGGGAUGAAAGGACCACUAGAUUAGAAAUCAGGAGUAAGUUGGCCUGGUUUUCAUUACAUUUGGCUCUGUCGGGUUUCUCAAUUAAUGGGCAUUUUUAUAUUUGUAAAUACUUCAAAAAAAAAAAAAAAGAAAAAUUGCAGCUUGAGUCCCAAUAAUUGAAAACUCCGGUCUUGGGCAAUUAUUGAAUGUUUUAGGCUAUGAAUAUAAAUAUUUAUUGAACUUUUGCCAUUUCUGCUUUGAGGCUUCAGAAAACAAGAUAUUUUUUCAAAGGAUCAUCUACUCGUAAAAAUGAAAAGUCAUUAGGAUAUAGAAACAUUUUGACUUCUGAAUUUGCUUCUUUUAUACUUUAUCAAGAAAAACAGAAGUUCUGCCUCUGCGAGCAUUUUUCUCAUGAGUUUUGCUCUCACAAUUAUCUGGUAUUUUGGUUAACUGCGUAAAAGGUUUCCCGUCAGUAAUAUGAGUUCCUUUGCCUUUUUUAGCCCACUGUUUUGUUGUCUCUCUCCCCUCUUCCAGAGCUUCAAAAAAACUAAAAAAAAAUGCAAAAAGCAUGUGCAUCUAGAGGAGCAAGUUGGUUGAUGGACAUCACAUCACCCGAACUGAUAGGUCAUAUUUAUUAGUUAAAAUUUAAUAGAUAAUUGCAAAUUAGCAAUGUUAAGCAGAGUCAAAAUUUAUUUUUUAUUUAUAAUUAUUAAAAUUAAAAAAUAAUACUCUAUCAAUAAUUUACAUAAUAAUUCAUAAUACUCUACCAAUAGUUUAUAAGAUUAUUUAUGAACUCAAAGCCGCGUCUCUUUCUUACUUAGAAAAGGAAUAUUUUAUUUCUAAUCAAAGAUGUACCAUAAUGCUAGAAUAGGGCUGAUGUAUAGUGACAGCCGCAUAUAGUUGAGUAUGGGUCAAGGCAACGGCAAUUAUUGGAGACCAAUUGAUCUUGAUAUUUGUCUAAUUAAAUUGGAGAUUGUUGAUUAUUAAUCUGACUUAUAAGUUAUACUUGAUUGGCUUAAGUGACAUAAAAUAAUCAUUUUUACUGCACUUUUUUUUUAUUAUUUUGAAACUUAACAUAGCAUUUUUAAUUCAGUAAACUCAAAAAUAAUCUCAUAUGUAUCUUUUUUUUUUCAACAACUCAAGUUUGAUUUCUAGAGCUAUGUCAAGAUUCCAUACUCAAAUCCCCUUCCCUCUUUCCCUCUAUUUGAAUUAAAAAAAAAAAAAAAAACUCAUAUAAAUCUGUUUACAUUGUAGGAUUUAAAAUAAAAAUUUUGCAAAUAUCAGAGAAACCAAAUUCUGGCAUUACCAACUUUGCUAUUCUAGGCUUUUGAAUGAAAAGCCUAUAGUAAUUCAUUUGGUGGGGAUGAGUUUAGUCCGACCAUGUCAUUUGGUGGAAUAAUGAGAACUAUAAUGAUAAAUCCAACCACACAUUGCGUCUAAAGUUGAUUUUUUUUUUUUUUGUAAAGUCUAAAGUUGAUUUUUAAACAGAAAAUAAUGAAUUUGAAAUAUUUUAUGAAAAAUUUUAUUAAUUCUAAUAGUAAGUUUUCAUUAAUUUUAAUGUUUAAAAAAUCAACAAAAUUAAGAAAUAUAAUGAUAAAAUUCAACUAAAUUAGAACACAUUGAUAAAAUUUAAUUUUGACUCAUAAUAUAGUGAUAAAUUUUAUCUUAAUCUGAAAAAAAAAAAAUUCUAACCUCCUACCACGGUGCAAAUAUCAAUACUGGUUAGGUUAUAUCACAAAAAAUAAUGUUAAUGAAAUUAAAAGCAUAUGUCAGGAGUAAAAACUCAAAAGGUCAAUUAACUCAUUCCAUGACAGGGCUAGGCCUAAGAGCAAUUUGGGGCAGCCAUUACGUGCUUUUUGCGAAAUCCUGAUGGAUCAGUCUUGAAAUAUGGUUUUGAUCCACUUUCCUGAGAGUUUGGGCUGGAAGGCAAGGCAAGCCUAGUGAACCUCAAUAAUCUUCAAGAAAGCAAAAAAAUAUGAAGAAUAUCCUACCAGUUACCUCUCACGCAUUGAUUUUACAGUGUCAAUUAGCAAUCGUAUAAAAACAUAAAUCAUACAGCACUUGAGUUGAGUUAUUAAAUAAAAGAACGAAUGAACAAUGAAUUAUCCAUGUUUGCGAAGAUUACUAACCAAACUGAUUAAAUUUAUUCGGUCAAGGCCCACUGAAGGAACCUCAACGUUUGAUAUUUCAAUCUCAAUGCUUGGUGAUGGCCCAGAUUGGUGAGAAUGAUGCAUUAACAAUGAUUCAUGAAGCAGCAUAUCCUUCUUUAAAUUCAAAAACCACGCGGUAUAAUUUAAGCUGGCAACCAAGCCUCCCAUAAAUGACAUCUCCCACGUUUGAUGUGCCAUCAAUGUGCACAAGUUAGAUAGACCAUAGGGGUAUUGAACAAUCUGCAUUGAAGAAUAAGAAUAAAUCAAGCCAUGAAUCAAAGAAGUCUACGGGGUUCUUUCUACAAAAAAUAAAUAAAUAAUUCAGGACAAAACCUCACCAUUCUUGUUCUUUGAUCAUAAUUCCAUUUCUUGAACAUCAUUAAUUCUUCCAGCCAUGAUCAACGCAACAUAUUUGUUAAUAGCAAUUCAAGCUUUUGGAGUGACUGCAUCGGACGUUACUAACACGCACCAUCACGGCAGCAAAAGAAAAAUUGUAAAUGGCUUCAGAAAGAUGAAACAUUAUAAACCACCAUCAGUCCCUACCCAACUGCAGGCAGCAUCUUUCAAUAUCCCUCUUACCUUCAUCACCUCCCUCAACUCACUGACACCAUCCCAUUUUCCAGCAGCUGCCAAAGUAUUUGAUAAUGCAACAAAUGCCCCUGGCCUACUAUCAGCAUUUAGCUUAAAAAGUUCGUUGGCAACUAUCCUUGCCAUUCGUACAUCACCAUGCAGCCUGCAGGAACUGAGCAAAGCUGCCCAAACAUCAGAAUUGGGCUUCUCAGGCAUCCUCAUUACAAGUUCCCAAGCUAGAUCUAAACGUCCUGCACGUCCCAGAAGGUCAACCACGCAAGCAUAGUGCUCCAUCUUCGGUUUUAUUGAGUAAUCUCUCUCCAUGCUCUCAAAGAUUUCUCGGCCUUUGGCAAGUAAGCCAGCAUGUCCACAAGCAGAGAGAGCGCUAAGGAAUGUAACAUCAUUCGGUUCAACAAAACAUUCUUGCAUCAUGUAGAACAGCUCAAGCGCUUCGUUUGGGUUUCCAUUCUUCCCAUAUCCAUCAAUCAUCGAGGUCCAUGUGAAAACAUUCUUUUCCGGCAUGUAGUCAAAAACUCUUCUGGCAUCCUCAAUUCUUCCACAUUUUGCAUGCAUGUCAACAAGAGCACUUCCUAUCUUUAUGUCCAUAAAGAACUCAGUCUUCACUAAUUGACCUUGAACUUGUUGACCUAUUUCAACUGCUGAUAAAACAGAACAAGCCCCAAUUACACUCACAAAAGUCGAAAUAUUAGGCCGGAAAUUCAACCGUUGCAUAUCAACAAAAAUCUCAAAUCCUUUCUUAGCAGUUUCAACUGAUUUACUGUAACCUUCAAUCAUUGCAUUGAAAACUACCACAUCCUUUUCAACCGUUCUAUUAAACACAUCUUCAGCCUCCUGUACUAAUUCCUUAUUCAUGUAUCCAGUGAUCAACGCCGUUGAACAAAUCACAUUCUUUUCCAACAUCAUAUCAAAAACGGUCCUUGCAUAUUCAACCUUCCUAGUCUUCACAUACGAGUCAACCAGUGCUGUAUAAAGCACUUCAUCAGGCUGAACAUCCAAUUUCACCAUCUGGGCAUGUGCUAUCCUCCCUAAAAACCGCGGCAGCACCACCCUAUUACUCCCACAAGCAGAGGCCUUUAAAAUCAUCGAAAAUGUGUAUCCAUCAGGCUUUUCACCUGAAUAAACCAUUCUACGAACCAAACCAAGUGACUCCUCAACUUUCCCAUGUUUAAGGUACCCGCCAAUCAUAUAAUUAUAAGCAGACAAAGUCCGCUGCGGCAAUUCAUCGAACACUUGGCUGGCAUAGUUUAAGCACCCAGUUUUUAAAUGCAAUAUAAGGAGUUUGAUGGAAAUAUUCGUAUUCGGUGAAAACCCAGAUUUUAUAAUGUGGGUAUGAAUCUUUUGGCCAUGGAAAGGGGUAUCUGAGUUAAUGAAGUGUUGAAUAGCAAUGGAGAGAGUUGUGACGGUUGGGUUGGAGAGAUAGUACUGGUGGGCUGGCGCGAAAGUGUUGUUAGGUGGGACGAGGAAGUUUUGAUUGUUGGGUGAUGAGAAAAUGUACGGUCUGAUUGUGGGUAGUCUUCCAUUUUUCAUUUUUCCCAUGUGACAGUUGACAGAUAUUUGCUGAUUUAUAACCAGGCAAGGCAAUCAGCUCAGGCCAGGAGUAGCUUUGUUUUUUUUUUUUUAUUCUUCUUUUUUCCUUCCUAAUUUAAUUUUUGGAUCAGUUUUCAGGUUCAACCCAGCCCACAUUGAAUUCUGACUUGUCAUAAAAGAGACGGGUAUGGAUUUUUGGGCCUAUUUCAAUCGCAGCCAGUUAGGUUUUAAUUAAGAUUCUUGUUUGGUCCAAAGUCCAAGAAAGAAGAACCCAUAAAAUUAGUCAAAUUUUCAGUUGACCAGGACAGCAGUCGGUCAAUUACUCCUAUGUUUUUCCUCUUUUUUUCUUAUCGUAUUUAUUUAUUUAUUUAUUGGAGAACCAUUUUCAUAUCUUAAGGAGAAAUGACAACAAGACAUGGCCAAAUCUCCAUGAGCAAAUGAUCAUUUUCUUGGAAAGCAAACAACGCAUGUAUGAGAAGCUUUUAAUGUUUAUCUAUGGGGAUAGCAAACUCCAGCCCCUCUUAAUGACGCGUGGAUUUAGAUUUUAAACCCUUUUAAGCUUUCUUUUCUCUUUUUGAACGAAGUGGUCACCACAUACCACAUUGAUGCUGUCACUAUAUAUCACUACGAGGAGGUGUAGAUUACCACUAACAAAUUUAAUGACUUGCUUUCGAAAAUAAGCUUUAGUAAAAUGUUUUGUGACUCCAUAUUCCAAUUAGCAAGUCUUUAUAAUUCAAGCAAUAUAUUCACCAAAAUGGAGGAUGAAACAUUUUGACUGUCACGUGCUUAACAUUUAUUAUGAGAAUAAAAAGAAUUGAAUCUCAAUUUCUUGCUAUUUUAAAUUCAAAAUUUAAUUGAAUUAUUUAUAUAAUUAUUUUUGAAAUACGAUAUUCAAUAAAUUUAAAAUUUAAAAUUUAAUAUUUGUAACUCUUUUCUCUAGUUUUAAAUUUUAAGUUUUUAAGAUAUUAAAAAAAAAAUUCUUGCUAAUACUCAUGAUGACAUUUUCCUGUGUAUACUAAUAUUAAGGUUAUAAAAUUAUGGAAAGUUUGGCGGUUAAUAUAGAAAAUGAUAUGAUGACCAUUAAAAGUAGCUUCGUUGGCGUGCACAAAUAAACAAAAUGUUGGACUUUGAACAACAUAAAAUAACAUGUUAGUAAUUCAUGCUUCUCUUUGAUUGUUGAGAAAGAAACAAAAGGAAAAUAAUCUUUAGAAUCUCGAUAUACAUAGUCCCACAUUCUUGAUUAUAUGAACCUUUUUCCCUUUAUUUUUAUUUUUAUUUAAAUACUCUCCAUUCAAGGAAAUGAUUAGAAAAAGAUGUAUGAAUUUUAUAUUAUUCAAAUACCAAGAGUAAAUCUAUUAGCUUUCUCAUGUAAUGUAAGUGUAACAAUAAGGAAUUAAUUAUAAAGCAAAACAUUAAUCAUUAUUCUGUUGUGCCUGUCAAGACAUUAGCUACUUUAAGCUUGAUUUGCAAGCAAUAUGUGUAGACUAGAGGGAGCAGCAACCCCUUGAGACAGGUAAGAUCUCUUGUUGGAAAAGGCUUAGUAGCAUCACAAUAUAGGACUUGAUUUCAUUUGCUUCGACGGCUAUCAAAGUUGGUCGGCAUGCAUGCCUUCAUCAAUUUUCAUUUCUCUCUUGGUUUCUGAAAUUAAGAUGGAAUAUGAACUUCACUCUUUCAUUAAUGAUGAUGACCUAAUGUUCAUUACUUCAUGCCAUUUCAGCUAAUUAUUGAAGUGAUUGUAAAUUAGUAGGAUUCCUUCAUUAGAAUCUUUAAAAUUUUCCACCACUACCUUUCUUGUGUGUCUUUUGGCUUUCCAGGAAUUUACCUAUCAAAAUCACCGAAAUUAAAGGGUCGGCAACGGUUUUACCUUUUUCCCCCUGCAUUAACGCAUAUAUAGCAAGGGAACUUAAUCAACGGUGGAGUCCACAUUAAUUUUAGAUUUAUAUUUAAUAUAUUAUCAUUAAAUCAUAUAUUGUUUCAUCAUUAAUGAACAAAUUUUUAAAAAAUUAACAAUCUUAAAAUGUAAAUAAUAAAACUUGAUUUCAAUUUUUUUUAAAGACUUGUCACCUCUCAAAUUUAUUUCUUGAGGACGUGAUAACUUGUAAUUUAAUGAGUUCUUCAAAAAUAAAUUCUUAAUUUUAACUCAUAUUCCUUGUCAUUUUGUAAUUUUUAACAUUUUUUAUAAAAUAGGUCAUAAUUUAGGAAAAAAAAUUUGUAAAUAUUAAAAUUUAAAUUUCAAACUUACUGAAUAUUAUUUUUUAAAAAAUAACUGUAUAAAUCACUUAAACUAAACAUUGAAUUCACAUUUUUUUACGACUUAAUUCCCUUUAUUAAUUUUUGUGUACACAAAACAUUUUAAAAUCAGCUCAGCUAACUUCUUAAUUUAUUCAUUACAUAUAUUUGUAUGACCUUUAAUAUCGCCCAAUAUAAUUAACCCUUUUGCAGAUGGGAUGGGAUUAGAUUUUUCCCACUCAUGCAUGCUUUGGUCAUGAUAGCAGUAUUGCAACUUUUUAAUACACAAACUCUUUCAUCAUUUAUGAUACUGUCCAAUUGAACGAGACAAUUCAUAGCAAAAGUUAUAAUGCCAAUACAUAUAUAUUUCCAUGCAUUGGCAAUCGACUUUGUAAAUGAAAAAAUGGACCAAACCUCAUUGUGGAGAGGGUGGUCCAGCUGGAGAUUUUCUUAGGUCACAUCAUCGAUCUGCUUUGCAUUAAACAAUUAACGCAAAUUAUAAAAUAAGAUUUUUAAAAUCUUUCAAAAGUUAGGUAAAUUGGACACAUCUAUACUAUAAUCCAAAAUAAUUAUUUCUAAAAAAAAAUCCAAAAGAAUUACCCUUAAUAUUAUAAGGACUAUAUAAAAAAGGGCAAAACCACAUCAUUUGCUUUACUAUCUUGAUUUAUUUUCAAAAAUAGAAGAGGAAAAGAUGAAAAAAAAUUUCAAGAGUCAAAACUUUCAUUUUCUCUUCUAAAACUUUUUAUUAUCUUAAAAGAAAUUGAAAAGCUUAAUUUAUGAUAAUUUCAAAUAUAUAUAUAAAAAAAACCCAACAAGAAUUGUGCUAAAAAAAUUUGCAUCAACUUAGAAGUGGUUAUCAUUUUUACAACUUUCUUAAUUGACCAAAUGUCCAUGGUGAGGCAUGAUUGGCCCAUCACAAUUAUGAAUGCCCCCAGUUGCUAUUAAAGCUCUGGGAGAUAAAAGGACCAAUGCCCUGAGCCGGAGAGCGAUAGGAGAGAGUGAUAGGUAGAGAUAACCUCCAUUCAUAGACAUCCUAUCACAAUUCACAAGAGAGAAUUUAAUGUAAAGUUUAAAGCCAGUCGUGUCAUUCUAACUCAUACACUUUUGAACAGUCUUUAACCAACCGUGGCAAUCUUGUUGUUAUUUCCAACUAAAAAGGCUGCUUUGGUCAUUGCAAAACAAGUUGCUUCAACGUCUAGCGUAGAGUUAGUUUGCUGUUUAAAUAUUACCAUUGCCAUUUGUGCGUUUUGAGAAAAGGAAUCAAAAAGACCAAAAACCAGCCAAAAAGAAUCCCACAAAACCUUCCUUUCUUGUCUGUAUUUCCUCCCUCCUUCUAGGGUGCAACUAAGUUGGUGAGCAUUUAAUAAUACCCAGCUUUUUGUUACAAAUAGAAGGCAAUGCACAGUUGUUGAUCAAGUCAUCCUUAGUCCUUGGUUCUUGCUAGUUCGUCUCAAAGUUUGCUCCUCUGAAGUGGAACUUGAAUUGUUUUUGCUCUAAACAUGAGGCCAAGGAUCUAUCUUUUUGGAGACUCAAUCACGGAGGAGUCCUUCGGUGAUGGUGGUUGGGGUGCCUCUCUUACCAACCAUUUCUCUCGAACGGUAUAUGUAUAUAUGUAUAUAUAUAUAUAUAUAUAUAUAUAUUUAUAUAUAUCUAUAUAUGAAGCCUUUUUCAAUCAUUAUUAGUUUUUAAAAUGGCAGUGUUUAUAUUGUUUUUCUAUGAUGUUGAAGAGAUUUUGGAUGUGGGUUUCUGGUUUUACAGGUUGAUGUGGUGCUAAGAGGGUAUAGCGGGUACAAUACAAGGUGGGCGUUAAAGGUGCUUGAUAGGGUUUUUCCUGAGGUGGAAAGAGGUGGUUCUGACGGUGCUGCACUGCCACUUGCAGUAACCGUGUUCUUUGGAGCUAAUGACGCUUGCCUUCCCGAUAGAUACGCAGCUUUCCAACACGUGCCACUUUAUGAGUACAAGCAGAAUCUCCACUCUAUUGUCUCCGCUCUCAAGGUUCUCAAUCUCCCCCCUUCACCUCUCUUCUUUAUGGCAUCUGAUCUUUGUCUAUAGUCUAUACUACUACAAAUUUGCUAACUCGUUAAGGACGUUAACUUAUUGACGAUCAAUUUUGUACUUGCUAUAUCACAAGUUGCGUUAACAGCAGAUGAUUAUAAUAAAAAGUGUCAAAAAGCACUAUUUUCAAGUAACUCUCACCUAGACUAAGAUACAAACAAUCGAGGAUUGGGCGUUGAAACUGUACAACUUUUUCUUGUGUUUUUUCCUAUGAUUUUAAUAUUCGGAUGAUAAAUUUGCCAUGGCGCUUGGCAUUGUGCCGUGGAAUAUAGUAAGACGUUGGCUGAGGAGUGAGGAACCCUAUUUGGUAGAAAGAUUUUUGAAUGGUCAAGUUGCUCACUGGUCAACCGUUUUCGUUGGGAAAGUGGGCCUGCGAAAAUACAAAAAGCAAGAGAUGGCCAGAUAAAGUGUGGGUGGGUAAGGCCCAGUUGUUGCUGUCAUCGUUCGCGACCUAGUUUUAAUCAUGAUUAUUACAUCUCAAAUCAAAUGUUACAGUUGAUACAAAGAUGGCAAGAUGGAAGUAUGCCUUUUUUAUUCAACGGUUAUACAACUAACCUUCUUAUUUCGAAUCAUAAUUAUUGAAAUGACUUUUCAUCUUUACCUUUUGUUUUCCAACAAGAAACUACCUAAAAUUUUUAUUUUAACUUAAGAAUUGAAUCUUCUUACCUAAAUCCAAUGACGAUUUAGUAGUAUUCUUUAGUCAAAGAGUAGGCUAAAAAAAUUGUCGGGUAAAAUAGUGACUUUUUCCUCACGUUUCUUGUGGUCCAAGAAAUUGGUAUAAAUAUCAUAGGCAUUGAUGGGGUUGCAGCUAUAUAUGGCGCCCCAGAUCACGACCCAUGUUUAUUUCUUGUUAGUUAUGGUCGUCUUCUUUUGGUUGGAUGGAAGGCCUUGUAUGUAUUUCUAGAAUGUUUAUGUUGAAAAAAAUCCAAGUCCUUUUGUGACUAUGGCUCCACUUUGUGGCCCUCAAGAAAUAAAGUUGGGACAUCAGAUUAUAUGAUGCGUAGCCUCUAAAGCUGAAUAUCUAAUUUGGUUUCAAUGAUUAUAAAAAAAUAUAUAAAAGUAGUUUAUACUUCUUUGUUAAUCAUAUAGGCAUUUCCAUUUGUUUUGGCUUCCUUUUCAAUGUUUGCUUUAGACUAAUUGUUAGAUACUUAAUAGUAUUUUGGUGGAGGGUGGAGUCCCACUGGUUUUGUUUAGCGCAUUAGCUUUUUGAAGCAAACGUGGGAAGCUCAACAAAUUCUUGGUGACUAGAGAGAAUCAUUUGUGUGGGAGCAGUUACUAUAAUCUUUUAUAUUUUCUUUUUUUUUUCUCCUUUUUCUGGGCCAAAUUAGCUAGGCUGACUAAUUUCAAUAUGCCUUUUGAAAUUCGUUCCAUUAAUCAUGUUCUAGUUUUGAAAUCCAAGUAUCCAACCGAUCAAUGGUUUCUUACAAUGCAAACCAGCUGAUGAGAGGAGCCUGAAAGUUAUCAGGAAUGGAGGAGUCUUUCUAUACAGUGUUCACUAAAAUAGGUUACCAGGGAUUUUAUACUUGUUUCUAUAUAUAUAUAUAUAUAUAUAUAUAUAUAAAACUUGGGAGAGAAUCCAUCCAGGAAUUUCUCUCUGGCUCUGUUACACCCUUUGGCCUGUACUAUCUCUUUCUGUUAGCAGUCUCCAAAAUUUAAUCUGCACUGCUGUGCCUACCAUGCUAGAAGGAGCAAGUGUAACCUAUUAUAUCAACUUGAUUAGCUGAUUUUCUUGGGGAAUUAUCUAUAAUGUUAAACAAAUGCAAGUUGUCUGCUAUGGUUUAUAUAUGUGUGUGUGUGUGUGUGUGUGUGCGCGCUGGUCCUGCUCAUAGAUUUUCCUUUUGCAUGCUUUUCCCUUCUCUUUCGUGGUCUCAGGAGCGGUGGCCAAAGGCUCUCAUUCUCCUAAUUACUCCUCCUCCUAUCGAUGAAGAUGAACGCCUUAGGUAUUGUUCCACUUGUUCCAUUUAGUUUGCAUUUUACAUUGUCCAUAUCUUUAAUACCUCCAUACUUACUUGAAACUGGUGUAAUAAUACCCUUGACCUCUGAUACAAAGUUAAUUUAAAAAUGAAUUUCUUGAACAAAAGGAAAUAUUCUGGAUGCAGACAUCCUUAUGCUGAGAAUCCAUCGGGUUUGCCCGAAAGGACAAAUGAAGCUGCUGGCGCUUUUGCCAAGGCAUGUGUUGAAACUGCUGGAGAAUGUGGAAUCCCUGUGGUAGAUCUCUGGACCAGGAUGCAGCAGUAUCCUGAUUGGCGGAAAGCUUAUCUUAGGUAUCAAGGCUUUUCGGCUUUUAAUAAUUUUAAAAACAUACUUUGCUCUAUUUAUGGAUUCUGUGUACGUAUAUUCUAAAUUUCUAAUACUAGAUAGCAGCUUCCGCACUGAGUACGAAGAUUAGCCUUGUGCCUGAUUUGACUGGUAGACUAAAAAAGUAGUAAACCUGCAAGGAAUGAACACCAUGAAUAUUCCCUAUGAAACAAUGCAUUGGCAUCUGCUUGUGAACUUUUCUGUAUUCGCUGUAAAAUACUUCCGAAUUCCAUAGGUUGGUGAUUUGUCAUCUGUAAUUUACUGUCAAAAUCCUAUUCCCAGUUGUUGAUUUGUGCCAGAAAUAUCAGAUAUGUUCUGUGAUUUCUAAGUAGUCUUAAUCUGUUGAUCUGUCACUUUCGUUUUUGUCAAUGAAGCUAAGAAUUAUUUGUUAAAAAAAAGGACUACUAAGCCAUUUGCUAAUAAGUUGUUUCUGAAAAUGCAGGGAUGGUUUACACCUCACUCAGGAUGGCAACAAGGUUGUAUUUGAGGAAAUAGUCAAGAAGCUGAAUGAGGGAGGCUUAAGCCUGGAAAAGCUAACGAUUGAUCUCCCACUUUUAGCUGAUAUUGACCAUGGUGACCCACUUAAGGCUUUUCAGUAGUAGUUAAGAUCACUGAAUAUUUAUUAUAUCAGGGGUAGGAUCGAUCUCUUUUUGGUCUCAAGUCUUAUAUUCUGCUGUUAUUGUAGUUAUGGAAGUAUGCUAUUAUAUAUAAAGAAUACCCAAAUUAUAGAUGGCAACUACUUCAUUUCUUUGAAUCAAUACAACCACUCUCCACACAUUGUGUUGUGAAAGUAAUGAGUGUGAGAUAUUCCAAGAUUUAAAAGCCAAAAACAAAGAAAAACACUUGCCAAACCUUUUAGAAAAAAAAUGGUUUACCUAUUGGUCAUUCUUAUAGUCAAUGCAUGUAGCAACAGAUCACUGUCCCCAUUCCAGGUGCAUGAAAAUGGGCAAAGGACCAAAGUUCUAGAUAGCUUGUAACGCCAUGAAAAUAGUUUUACUAACAAUAGGAAAAACAAAAUUGUUAGGGUGGAAUAGUGUUAUCCAUGGAGACAAUGGAGAGGUACUUUUCCAUUGUGCAAACACCGAUAUAACGGGGAUUUGACAUAAUUGAUUUCCUUGAUAAAAUACAUGGACGGCAGUAUAUUCAUUUUAGAUCUCGGGCAUCAUGGUGUCUUCAAGAAAUGACUAACGAGAAAGUCUAAACUCAUGCAUCAUAUUCAUUGCCUUGCGUUCAGUUCUUUUCCUUUAUCUUUAAUGCCCUGGUUGCUGAAAAUUUUGAUCAAUUUCAAUCUGUUGGAGGGGGUGGGGGAGCUGGUUUUUAUCACUACUGACAAGCGUGAAUGAGCCAGCAUAAUAUUUGGUCUAAUCAGAGAUACCUGGGAGAAGGAAUGGAUUCACUGAGUUACCCAUAAGGAUAUUUCCAAUAAUAAAAACUCGUCCAAGUACUAAUAAUUUUCUCUCAUUUUUCAAGAAAAGGAAAUAAAUCAGAUGGCAUAUUUAAUGUCUAACUACGUUUGACGUGCAACUAAAUUGGGUUAUCCGAUUGUACCAGUUACAAUUAAGAGAAUGUAAUUUAGAAGUGUUUAAGUUGGGGGAAUAAUUUAGAACCAAGCCUAUCAAUUACACAUUCAAUCCAAAAUUGCAUACUACUUGAGUUUUUUUCUUUUCUCCAUUAAAAAUGAUAAUUGACAUAUUUAAUUGAUAGAAAUUCCUAUGAGAUUUCAUGCCAGACAAGCCUUUUUUUAUUAAAGAUAGAAAGCAGGGACCAAAUUGAAAUAGAUUUCAAAUUUUAGGGUAUAUGGUGAAAAUUUUCCCUUGCUAAUAUCUUGGACAAAAAAAAUAUAGAAGACAUUCAUUUGGAGAAGUCAAGUAGAAGUAUGUUUCAAACAAGAUUCAAGAAGCUAACAUAACAAUACUUAUAUUUCAACUGAAAUAAACUUCUACUGAAUUAGUUAAAGCUUAGUCCAAGUACUGAUCCAACUACUUAAUACUACAUAUAUGUAACUUUUCAAGCUAUUAAGCUACAUAGUCCUCGGAUCAGAGAUGUUCUAUGAUGAGUAUGAACACAUCUCGAUGAUCGAAGUUUCACUAUUAUUACGAGAAAUUAUUGGAAAUGACAAAUAGAGCUAUUACCCCAACCACAUUGUCCUUCAAGUGCUGAUCUCUAGAGGCAAUGCCGGUGGUUGAUCCUCAAGUGACUGGGACUUAACUAGUUAUGUUGAGGAUCUGGUCCUCCUGGUGAAAUUCUUGAUGAUUCUAUCAAUACCCUCCUUUCAUGCUUCAUUGCAGUCAAAUCAUAGCCUGCCAAUGCAUGUAUAAUGGAUUGGCUAUAAAUCCUUUUCUGCAUUGUCUUACGCCCAGCAUAAUUCUUUGCUUCUACAUUAAUUGCAUUUCCUGAUAAAAUAAGUAAGAUGACCAAGGAAGCCUGGAUGAUGGUUGAGUUAGGCAUUUCUAAGCUGAAUGAAAAACUGAUCAGUAGUAGCUAGAAUGGAUGACAAUGGCAAGUGGCAUUUGACAGCAAGUGAAACCCGUUCUCAUAUAUAGUUGGAAAUUCAUGGCAAACGUCCAAGGUUUAACAGCUCAGGAAAUAAUGGUGUGGCGUAUGCAAGUUGACAAAUCCUGUAGGGAUAUUUGCUUUUGUUUUCUACAAGGUUUAAUAGCUUUUCCUACCAUUACCUGAUAACUUUAAUUAUCCCUCAAAUUGCAUAAAGGCUGAAGCAUUUGUCUUAGGUCCCCACAUGAGCAAGGAGGCACCCUGUUUAUCUUUAGCUUGAUCAUUCAUCUCCCAUUAAAACUUGCCUGCACAGUCAUCGUCUGCUCUUUAAAAUCCAACGUUGGACUUGGGGCCUGGGGCGGUGCUUAACAAGACAAAACAAGAACAAAGUUGAUCAAACUCUGAAAAUAAAAAUGUUAAGGGAUAUAAAAUCCUUCAACUACAGGCCAAGAAAGAGACAGAUGUGGCCAAAUUUCAUUCAAGUCAUUCUUGCAUUUGGUUUUUGUCUUUUGUUGAUACAAAAGCAAGUGACUCUGCAAAACGAAUGCGUCCGUGCCCACUUUACAGGUUAGGACAAUUUGUCCUUCCAUAAUCCAAAGGGUUACUAAUAUAACACAGCACCUAUUCUAUUCCCACUUAGGCGAUUUUUGCUGCUUUUUUGUUUGUAUUAGGUCUGCUUAUCCAACUUGCACCGCUUUAGGUUUUUUGGUUCCUAACUUUCCUGUUAACUUUAAUCGCUUGAAAAGUUGAUGAAUAAUUUUUCGUUUUCUUGGAUAAAUAUCUUUCUAACUUUGCAAUCAAUGUCGUCAAAGGCAGAGUGUUGAUGUUUCCUUUUUUGUCUUUUUAAAUUCCCAAUACAAAGAUGACAUGAAAUUCAUGAAUCUUGUGAUAUAAUCUCUAUCUAACUGCAAAAGUUACAUUGCAUCCACUUGAUAGAUACGGCCGAUUUUCUAGCUAGUAUUUCCUUUAUUUAUUUAUUUAUUCUAUUGUAAAGUUUAUUUUGUUCAAGGAGCUAAGUCUAGCAAUCAUGCUUUAAACUAUGAUAUAAACAAUUACUUAGUUACUGAACACAAGGAUUAUUUACUUGGAUUAUGUAAUUGUUUUUAAAAAAUAAUAUUUAAUAAAUUUAGAAUUUAAAUUUUAAUACAUAUAAUCUCUAUUAUCAGAUUGUGUCUCUUUUAUAAAAAUAAAUCUGAAUUAUUUAAUGUCAUUAUGUAUUGGUUUGAAUAUUCAAUUGUUAAACGUAAAAGUAAAAAAUUAUCAUUAAUAUUUUUUAUUGAAGUGUGAUUGAUACCUACAAUAUUUACUCAAAACAGUUCCAAUAUAAUUCCUCUUUUCCAAAUUAUCAAAAAGGAAAAAAAAAAAAAAAAAAAGAACUUACAUUCAUAAGUCCUGACAGCUAGGUAUUCUGUACUAUAUGACAACCCAACAACAAAAUCAUCUCAUUUGGAGUAGAAGCACUCAUAAAAUUGAAAAACAGUCUGAAGAAAGAAAAGAAAAUUGAUGCAAGGAUGCGAUCCACCAUCUGAAAUGUUGGCCUGUCUGACAUUUUGAAGACUUCUUUCCAGAGAAUCAUUACUGCUAGUAUAUCUCAUAGAAGUUCUUUGUAACAGAGGUGGAGUCAGAAUUUUGACACUAUUAAUGGGGAUCCAAUGUAAGAUGUAAAAGGGAGUUAAACUCAGGAUUCCAGAGUAGGAAUACAAAAUUUUGGGGUGAUUGAGGAGAAAUUGUGUGUUAGAAAGAAUAGCCUAUAAAAUGAAAACAGAGAAAUGAAGCGGGUUUAAGAAAUUUGGACAAAAUUGCACCGUUUAUAAAUCCAAACACCAUUAAAUAUAAAUGAACAUACUGGCAAAAAAAAUAUAAAUGAAACUCCAAUAAAUUUCAGAUUUUAAUGGCGUUUAUAAAUGCAAAUGCUGCUAGUAUCUAAAUUUUAGUAGAGCUUAUAAUUACAAACGUUGCUAAAUUUAUCUAAAAUUUCAAUCUACUUCCCACUCUUUUUUUUCUGCAUUUCUUUUCGUGCCCGUCAAAUUUUUUAUAUUUCAAAGGCCUUUAAGGAUGAGAAACGCCACCACUGUUUUAAUUUUAAAAUAUUUACUUGAAAACGCCACCAUCAUUUCAAGAUCAAGAAAGCUACUGGCCUUUUUUUAAUCAAACGCCGUGAAAAUUUUGUCAUGAAAAGCCUAUUUUUAUGCAACGCGGUGUUUUUUAAUCCUAUUUAGCACUUAAACUAAUUCUGAAUUUCAACAUAUAAAUGCUGGAAUCGUCAAGCUUGAGGGUUCGAGUUAAAGAGGUGCAUUUGCUUUGGAACAUUUGUUAAUAGCCAAUCGUGAUAAGAACUUUAAUUGUGAAAUAUAUUUCCUAGGAAGUUGAUGAUGUGAUAACAUAAUAUUGUUUGUAUAGAUGCUCAUAGGGUUGAAUGAAUGAACAAAUUCAAUCAAAUAAAAACAUAAAGAAAAGAAAAACUACAGAUGUAUGACAUUAAUGCAUGCUAUACAGAAAGUAAGGUUCUGUUCUUUCUAAACACAGGGCUAAAGGCCAAAUCUUUGAAUUGUUAAAGAAAAUAUUGUGCCAUGAUCAGGUUAAUUAAUGCUACACAUGUAACUUACUUUGUAUCAUAUACCAUCCAUUGCUCAACCCAAAUUCAACUACUUAAUUAGGAACUUUAUCAAUCUCCCCCUUGGAAUGCAUUUUCCAUUUUGAAAUGUAUUGCUGUUCUUAAUUAAAACUUUACUGAUAGAUACUGCAAACAACGUUAAACAAGAUGGAGCUUGAAGUUUGAACUGUGAACUUAAAUGGUUGCUGAAGGCUAGCCUUUCAGUUAGCUUUUAUUGUCGCAUUAACUCCUAAGAAUAUUGUAUGACUUCCUAAUGCUAGCUAUAGAUAGAAAUAUCCUAAGUUGAAUUUCAUUUAUUUUCUCUUUUUGCAUUUGCUUCCACAAGUAAAAAAUUUCAACAUAUCAAACUCCCAUUUAUAAUAGCUGGUCAGAACAUAAAAAUUAAAAAGUGAAACAUUCAUUUAUAUCUGUCAAAGAUAGUAUACGCAUAUGCAAACCUUCAGAAGGUUCUACGAGAAGAGGAAAUUUUCAUAUGUAACAGGUAAUACAACAUUGGUGUAUGUCUCGUCCGUCCCUCUUUUUUCAAGUGAAAAAAUCCACAUGUUGAUGCUUUAUUCUCCACAUUCAAGCGAGAAAGAAGAAGAAAGAUAUCAACAAGGUCAAAUCCACUUUAUGAAGAAGGGAAAUAUGAAUUAUGUUGUACCAUUUAUAGAAGAUACCAUCUCCCACUACAAAAUUAUAAACUAGUUAUUUAUGAUGCUGUGGGUCAGGUCCCCUAGGGCUUGUUCUCCUAAUCUGUUCAAACUGGUUUCUCAUAGCUUCUCCCUGCAGGUACUGUCUCAAGGACUCGAUAGAUUGGUUUGGAUUCCUCAUCUCUAUCAAGAGGCGACUGUCUGAGCCUGCAGACAAAAGUAAGACCAAGGUAAGGCAUACCAGACUCCUACAGAUAGACAUUGUAGUUAAAGUGAUUACGUGACAACCUUGUGCUUUGACAUGGAAGUUGAGAGGCUUUUCCAAUCUAUAUACAUCCUAAUCAACUUUAGUACAAAGUGGAUGAGGAAUUGUUAAUCAAUCAUUCGACUGUAAAUUGUCAUCUGACAGGGAAAGACUGUUUAUCCUGUUGGCAGAACCAAGUAAAAAUACUAUGGUUUUGGCCUAUGAUCAUUCUGACGAGCUUUAGCCAAUAAGAUGUCAGACAGCCACUAGCCAACAUCUCUAUUUUGGCAUAUUGUAAGUUGGAAGUAUUAAACUCCUUUUAGCCUAUUAAUGUUCGCAACUUCACACAUGGAUAACUCAAGAAUACGUCACUGGUAAGCAUGGUCAUUCGUGUGCCAUUGAGGAUAAGUGGAUAAACCACACCGACCAGUCACCAGUGACAGUUGAUGAAAAAAAGUUUUGGAAAAAACUUUAAAUUAAAACUGUAUAACUUUGGAUUUGGGUCAAAUUUUAUUGGUUAUAAAAUCAUUUGGUUGUUAAGUUUAUUUAAAAGAUAAAUAUAUUUAAUGGAUAAAAGUUAUUAUUUAAUAGUAAUUUUUUUCAUAUUCGAAAAUUUGAAACUAUUAGGAUUUAAAUAAUGAUUACGAAAAUCAAGAACAUAAUUCAUUAUCAAUAUACUAUAGAUUAUGUGAUUAUUGGCUUGAAUAAUGAUUUUUUAUGAUUAAAGGUAUAUUUGGAUUUCACUUAACCUCCAUUGAAUGUGUGAUAUCUAUAACAAAAUUGUGUCCAACAACAAUAUACAUCCAUUUGGAUGUUAAAGCUGUGGGACGGUUGGAGAUUGUUAUCUCCGUUUGUUCAUUUGAAAUUUUUGUUGCGAUGGGACAAUGGCCCUCAUUUUUUUUUUUUUUUUACUUGUUUCCCAUUCUUCUUUUUUUCCCUCCAUUUUUAUUGCAAAGAUAAAAUUGUCCUUAUAAUUUGGCUUUUUUUUUUGCAUUUUGACUUUUUUUAUUUAAAAACUAUGAAAUAAAUUUUUUAAUUUAAUAUAAUAAAUAAAUUUGAUUAUUUUACAAUAAAUAAAUAAAUAAAUUUUAUUAUAUAAUAAACUUUUAAUUUAUUAAUUAUUUAUUAACAAAACUAGUAUUUUUCAUAAAAAUAUUUUAAUUAUUUAUUAAUUUUAUAAAUGUUAAAUAAUUUAAAGUUUUCAUUGCAUAAAAUUUUUUAAUCUAAUGUUUUUAAUAAUCAUUUUUCUUUUCAGUCCUGUUACAUGUAGGAACAUUAGAAUCUUAAUUGUUCAUUUAAUAUUUUCCAGGAUAAGCAAGCCCUCUGUUUGAUAAUGCUGAUCAAUGAGCGAAUAGAAAAAAGCCAAACCUGACACCUGAGACAUACCUAAAAGACUCAUUCUAGCCUUCUUUUCCUCUUUUUGAUUGUUAAGUUAAGCUGGGACUUUUUCCUUUUUAACUUCCUUCCAUGUAUAACUGUCCAUAUUAUGUGGUUGCUGUUUUUCAUUGCCGUUCUUACCUUCAACAGUACCGCAACGAAACAAAGAAACUGACUAAUUGGUGAUUAACAAUGAGUUGUCCAUUAGACUAGAAUCAAUAUCAACAAAUGGAGAUUUUUUUUCUUUUCCAUUCUCCAAUCACAUUGUGAUUUCCUCUUCACAAAAAUGCUCGCUGAGUAUAUUUCUCCAGUCAUGACUUUUGAUUAGACCUAACAAAAUCUUUAUUUCUCUCGAGGCCUUCUUUCUGGCUACUAGGGUAUGAAAAUGACAAGCAUUUUUGGCCUUAAGCUGUGUCCAUUGACAUUGUCCAAUGCUUAGGACAAGCUUUAGAUUUUGUCUGUAUUGGAUGUUCUUAAUAGCUACCAAACAAACUUAAAAGUUAAAACCAUUUUUCUUGUCCUUGUAUGACGGUAAGUGUUUGUCUGUGUCUCUUUGUAUUCUUAAUUUUCUAGCCACACAGAGACAUGGAUGCAGCUGUAAACAUUUCACAAUACAUUCCACGAUGAAAAACAGCAACCACAUAAUAUGCGGUCCAUUUAAAAUUUAUAGGAUGAUAUUUCGCUAUGGACUUUUAUUCAAGGAUUUUUCCAUUAAAAUAUGCAGUCCAGUAGAAGUUUGUGCAUUCAAUGUAAUUGUUCAGCCGAACUUUCUGGUUUUUAGCAUUGCAGAUUUUCAAUCGGGGGUCAGUGUGAGAUAACUAGCUAGUAGUUAAUUAAAAACAAUUGAUAAAUGGUCAUUGAUUCAAAUAUACAUAACACACUGGGAAUCUGGGACCUAGGAGAUUCAGGUUCUAUCACUUGUAACUCUUUUUUUAUGAAGAAAUUUAUACUCAAGAAGUGGAGUUAGGAAUGGAAAGUGUGGUUUUACCUUGGAUCCUUUUUGAAUCAGAUUUCCUGGUUGAGCUAAGCCACUUCUUGCCAUGACUUUGAUGUAUUAGUGGUUUGAAGCUUAUCUUUUCUUAAAGGAGAUUCGGCUGCAACAGAACAGUCCCACUCAGGGUAAAGCAGGAUAUCAUUCCAUAAUGUCCCUUAUCCAUUCUUUUAAAGGACCAAUUCCAGUUAACUAUAUUAGUUGACUUUAAAGAUGGUGUUAUCAGUUUAUAGAAUCGCAUUUUAUAAACUUGAAACCUUGUCAUGAAUUUCUUAUUCUUUUUUUUUUUCCAAUUAGAGAAGCUAUAGUUGCAGCAUUAUCUUUCCGUCCCACAAUCUGAAGAGAUAUAUAAACUCACAAACAUAGAAUAAAGCUUCAUGGUUCAUUGCUCUUACUUUUGUUGUAAAACAACAAUAUCUGAUAAAUUUCAUGGCCUUAAUUUCGACAGCAAACUUAAACGGUUGGCUGGUGGGAGUUGGGAUAAAAAUUCUGGAUUUAAUUCCUAGUGCUGCUUGUUAGGAUACGUGGGAUCCAGUCUCAUGUAAUUGAUUUUGAUCAUUCAAAAGUCAUUGCUCUUGUGUGUUUUAGGCUACCCUAAGAGAGCCCCCAGAUAAUAAAAGAAGAGGGGGGCUGUGUUGUGAGAAACAGAGGACGGCAUCAAAGAGAGAAAAAGAAAAGUUAGAAAAAAUAGAGAGAAAAGGAAAAAGAGAAAGUUGGUUAAUUGAAAGUCAAUUUAUGGUUUAAUUGAGUUAAAAUUUUAUUAAUAUGUUUAUGAUUUAGAAUUUUACAUUUUUAACGAUGAAAAUUAAGUUUAAAACUCUCUAGGAAUAAGUUUGGGAUAUAUUUAUUAAGUCACUUAUUUGAUGAAAUUUUUUUAAUUUCUCUUUAAUUGUUGAUUUGUUUUAGUUUUAACUAGAAGUAAAUUUUAUAUAUCCAUUAUUUGAUAGUAGAGAUUUUUUUAAAUGAUCUGUUAUUUUUUUUUCAUUUACACUAGAAGAUUUUUUACUUAAAUUUUGAUGUGUUUUAUUUUUCUUGUGUUGUUGAUUAUUGAUUAUUAUUUAUUAUUGUGAGUUUAUUACGAUAUAUUACUUUUACAUUGUUGUGUUUGUUGUUUUAGGCCUAACAUUGCUGCCCUCUUGUAUCAUAAGGAAAAGAGUCAGAAUUUUAAUGUCCCUUCCAAUCGUAUUGUAAGAUUGAACAAUGGAUCUUGAGAGAAGAGAAAUAAAAGUUCUUUCACCCUGGCAGAUGCAUAUAUACUACUUGGUACAGAAAAACCAUAGUUUAAUCUGCUUACGAGUUAAAAAGUGCCAAAAGGGGAGUUUCGCUUUAUCGCUAGAGCAAGCAUAGUUGGAUUUUCAAUUUAUUUAACUUGCAAAGUGUUUUAGUUGUUUGUGAAGGUACUUCAAGCAUGAAUUGUCAUUCUCCUAAAGGAAAAAGGCAAGUGCUGCUCUGACAAAAGGGAAGGAGGAAGAGAGACAAGUUUUCCAUGAUUUAGACCCCUGAUAUUAGUGCAUUCUUAUGUUUCAUUUAGCUCUCACCAAUUAGAAAAAAUAUCAGCUUUGGAGGUGAUGACAAUGGGAUUUUACAAGCCUUAUAUUUUGAAAUUAAGUAUAUGAUUGUCAAGAACUCCAACAAUGUCUGAUAAAGAUUACUAGUAUGUUUUUUUUUCUUAAUUGAAUUCAAAUAUUAUAGUCUUGUUUAUCUUAUGCAUGGAUCAUGAUCACUUCAAAAUCCUAAUUUGAGGCACUGGGAACCAAGCAACAGUGGUAUCAGUCGAUCAUAAGGCUUAAAGUCUGCAGAAAGAGAAACAGUUCGCUCAUAUAAUAUACAUUGGAAACACCAUCAUAGCCUAAAUGACUGAGCAAAAGAAAUACAUGCCAAAAGAAAGAUGAUGCGGAGUUGGCAGAGAUAUCUCCUCCAAAUCACUGGUAUGGCUAUCGAAAUCGUGAGCAUCGGCAUGUAGGUUCCAGAUCCAAGUGGUAGUAUCGGGUCCCUUAGCUAUUGUUCUUGAGAAAUGACCCGGCCUAGCUCACGAUUAUAAGAGCACAUCCAGCUCCUCGUGAAAAAAAUGACUAAAAAAUAUUUUAUUUUAUUCUUAAGAUAUAUAGGUAGUUAAUGAAUAAUAGAUUGAAUCCUAGGAUUCUUUGCUUUGAGAUUUUAUCUGAUCUAGCUAUUAGAAAUUUAUAUAUCUUGUUUGGAUAUAUAUUGGAUAUAUAUAUAUAUAUAUAUAUAAAUAAUUAAACAUGGAUUCUAUUUAUAGAUAAUGCCCUAUCUUGUUUUUGUUAUAAUGUUAUAACAAAUCUUUAUUUUGUUUUAUCUUUUUUUAUCAUAUUCAUCUUGGAAUUAAAAAAAUUUAUCAAUCAAAUAAAAUGAAAAAAAAAAUUUAAAUGAAAAUAAAAUUUUUGCAAGCAAAUAUUUACUUUUUCAAUAUCUAUUUUAGUUAUUGGGUUAACUUAUGACCUCUCAAAACCAGAAUAAAAAGAAAUGAAGUGGUCUCUAGUUUGUUCCUCCAUCCUACCCAAUAAAUCAUUAAGAUUCAUUUUCAAUAGAAUCCUCUUCAUUCUCAGGUUCAUCGUCUUUUAUAUAUAUAUAUAUAUAUAUAUAUAUAUAUAUAAAUAGAUCUUAUUCAUCUAAUGAUUCAUUUAGUAAUUGAAUUGAACGACCCUUUUAACUUAGUGAUAAAGUAACACUAUGGUAAGGUAUAAGUCAUCGGUUCAAAUCCAAUAAGGGGCUUUUGGCUUUUUUUUUUUCAUAAAACUCCAGUGAAAUAGUAGUAUUCAUAUUUAAACGAAGAAUAGGGGUGUUGUUUUUAUUGGUAAUAAAAAACCAACUGUAUAUGUAUAAUAAUUUAAUUAGAAACUGUAUAAUUUAACUCUAAUAAGUUAUUAUCUAAUAAGUUAUUAUUCUAAUGAGUUAGAGUAGAGUAAUUCUAAAAGAAAGUUGAACAUUUGUUUAUUAUAAUGAAUAAUGAUAAGUCGUCUCUUGAAUUGACAAAUAUAUAUUUUUAUUUUGCAUUAUAUUAUUCCAAUUAAUCCAUUGUAAAGAAUUGUAAAGAUUAGAAAUCAAUAAAAAGAAAAAGUAAGGGGAUCUAACCCAUUAAAUCAUGACUAUAUCCACUAUUCUCAUAUUAGCCCUAGUAGCCUUGCUAAAUGGUGAUUCAACAUGGAUUAUACAUCUCGGAACCAAGCCAAUUUUGGGUUUGCUUUGUGAUAAUGGAAUACAAAAAGCAUUAAGGUUGCAAAGACCAAUGCACCAAUUGAGGUGCAAUAGAGUUGUAAUUCAUUAGUUAUUCCAGAUGUUCGCCAAAUCUAAAAAAAAAUAAAAUAAAGAGGGUAUUUGUAUCCUUUGCAAACCUCCGCCCACAUCACCAUUCAAGAUUUCUAUUUAUUUUUUUAUGAAAUUUGUAUAGUAGUAUGUAGAUAAUUAUAAUAUAAAAAAUCUAUAGGAAUAAAUAAAUAAUGACAUAAAGACACCGAUCGUUUUGUUUUAAAAAUAGAUGUCUUUGACAUCCAACUAUAGCACUGAAUAACCUUUUUUUUAAAAUGGCAGCUCAAAAAAAUGUACUUCUACAUCAAAAAAACAUAUUUGAAAAAAAUGUUUGGAAAAAGAAAAGAUAUUGGGUGGCAUUGAAAGCUUUUUCAUUAUUGAGAUCUAUUUUUAUGAGUAUUUCAAAAUGUUUUUUUGUACGACAAAAUUUGUUUUUAAUUUGAAUUGGUUUAACUUGAAUAAGAUACAAAUGUUUUCUUUUUUGAAUAUAUAUAUUUUCAUUUAUGGGAUAGGGAUUCUUAUUUUCCCCAUUGCCCCAUUUGCUUUCUUAGUGUUAAAGCCACAUUCCAAAUAAAUAACAAAUCAAAGCAAAGAAAAAGAAAAGCAAUAAAUAGGUAAAUAGAAGAUUCAAAAGGCCUGAUCAACGUAAAGACGAAUAUACCAACUUGAUUUUUUGGCAUUAUAAUUACAACUACAAAAAAGAGCUUUCAGAUUUUUACUCUUUUGUGUCUUAAAAUAAAAUUGAAUGAAAAGAUUAAGAAGUUUCAAACUUUUUAUUCCAUAUCUGUUCUAAUGCUACACUGCUACUCAAUAACUUAGGGGAUCGAUUCUAUUACAUAAGUUGAUUCUCAAUUUUUAUCUCAUAUCAUGACAUAAAUAAGCAGUUUUUAUUUAUUAUAUCGGCCCAAAACCUCACUAAUUGACUUUUACGGUGUGUCAUAACGUAUAGAUCUAUAGAUCGCUAGACACAAGCUAAGGAGUCGCCAACAAUAUUUUAUUAAGGUGUGAUUAGCCACCUAAUCUUUUCGAAAAGUUCCUAAGAUUGACUAAGAGUCUUUCACAAAUAAGUUUUGACUUUUUGAGUAGAACUAUGUUCGAUAAUUCGAUUACAUGUAAGAAAGGUUAUAGUACCCCUACAAUGCUCAUCCUAAAAGACGGUACCAUUUAAUUUUAAAUUAUCCUAAGGUCUUAAUUCUAAUAGUCUUCUAUUAACUAGAAUAAAUAAUAAAAAAAACUAUGGAUUUUUGCACAAUCCAUUUUUAUGUUAUGACUAAGUUCUUUUGUCGAACCCUAUCUAUCAAAACUCCUAUAACAAAGGAAAGAAGUUUUUAUUUAGUUAUUUUUAUUUAGUUAUUUAAAUGAAAUAACUACUCUUUUCCUAAUUUUAUCAAGUCUUCUGACAAAAGGCGGCAAGGCUCUAAUUUUCAGGAUUUUUUAUCCCCCUAUCUUGUGAUCCUAUCUUGAUUACGCCCAAUUCCCCUGUUCGACAAAGGGUCUCUUUAUAUACAAUAAUCGCAUUGUAGCGGGUAUAGUUUAGUGGUAAAAGUGUGAUUCGUUCUAUUAAUCCCCUUAAUAGUUAAGGGGUCCUUCGGUUUGAUUCAUAUUCCGAGCAAAAACUUUAUUUCUUAAAAGGAUUUAAUCCUUUACCUCUCAACGAAAGAUUUGAGGAAGAAUAUACAUUCUCGUGAUUUGUAUCCAAGGGCCAAUUAAAUUAUAUAAUUAUAUGAUUAUAUUCUAAAUUGAAAAAUUGGAUUAUGAAAUUACGAAACAUAAUUUUUUUUUUUUUUUUGAAUUGGAUCAAUACUUCCAGUUGAAUAAGUAUUAA